rnacentral:lncRNA from 1 species
GUAAAUUGGUCAAACAAGCGACUUCUAUACUUACUACUGUAGUAUAAUUAACUCUUUGGCUGAAUCUGAAACAAGCAACUUCAAUAUAUCAGUACACUAACAUCUGAAAUAUGCUUGCAUGCCAAAGCAUUGCUGGCCGAGCUAUCCAGUGACAAAUAGCACCAGCACCGCAGGUGCUAUCCAGCAUUCAUUAGCCAAAAUCAGAUAAGAUCGACCAAAAAGACACAAACAGAAGUGGGACAUAAGAAAUUUGACAUCAAAGUCUCCCAACCUGGUACGACAUGGAACAUAACCAAACGGAAACAGUGAAAAGAUGAACAGAGACACAAGAUGUACGCAAAGAUCAGGCAGGCAGGCAAGAUUGUUUCGACCCGCUUUCUUGGAAAGCAUAAAGCAAAUGCACCACAGGUACUGAUUAUUCGAAGCAAGUCACUGUGUCUUCAUCAUGCCAGUUGGCUAACUGUGUCUCGAAAAUUAGAUUACUGAGGGAAGUUGUCAAAUUGAACGAUUAACUGGUUGAACAGUGCAUGCAACGUAGAGGGUUGAUCUCCGUAUGAAGCAUUACAAUAUGGAAGAACCCGCAGCGACGAAGCCAAUUCCUGCAUCUCAGCAAUCUAGGUACCUGUGAACAAUCAAUAUCAUUAGUCAAACCAAUCUGUACUAUUCAUUAAUGAAAAAUAAUUAAAAGUUAUAGAAAAUCUCAAAUUUGUUUUAAAAUAAAAAUGGAAAUUGUACCAAUAAACUCCAAGGUUCGAUCAUCUCAGCAUUAUCCGGAAAAGAGAAAAAAGCCAUAGAAACAGAGUAUCGCAAUAGGUAAUUUGUAGUGUGGUAGCCACACUAUCAACUACCUUCCAUAGAGGCAAAUCCUGAGCCAUCUAGAUAAGCAAAUCAUAUGAAAUAUUCUUUAUUUUAAAAAAUAAAGACCAGUAGAGGAGGAGCCCUGCAGCUUUUUUAAUUAAGAGAGAAGAUGUGAGACCCACAUUCAAACCCACAAAAUUGACACCAGUAUGGCCAAAUAACGUCCACGGGGCUCGAACCUGCGCCGGCUCGAAUGCACAGCAGCGCUCCAACCACUAGGCUAAGAGCCCGUCCACUAACAAAUUGACUUAUGUUAUCAUGGACAUAUCACGGGUUCAUGGAUUAGAAAACCAGAUAAUUCUGGUUUCUAACUCAAAGGCAUAUGUUUUAGAAAUGUAUGAGCUAUCUGGUCACUAACAAAUUGAAUACAAUCAAAUUCAUGCCAUACAAGCCUCGAGCAAGGGAUCAUAUAUUAUCUUAUUAAUUUAUUUAUAACUCCUUUGGUAGAAAAUAGAAGUCAUUUUUUAUGCAGCACAACAUCACAAAAACAACUCUCACCAGACCACUACUAAUAUUUCAAAAUACAUUGCAUAUUAGGUUUCGUUAGAAAAAGCCUUUGACCAAUGGUUACACUAUUAGUAUAUAUUUAUGCGACAAAAAAUUAUUGACCUUUGACUCAUAUUCCAAAGUACUUAUAUAUGGUUAUGAUUUUGUAUCACAUAAGCUACAAACUACUAGAGUAAACGUUUGUGAAAGGCUUGUACUACCAAAAUUUAAUAUGCAGUGUAUUUUUAAACCAAGGGUGUAUGUUAGUAAAAGUAAAAAUUGUGAUUCAUGAUACCGCACAGAACUAAACGGAGGGUGUCAAAAUUGAAACAUAGCUACAUGUAGCUUAAACCAGACAAACUAUACUAGUGUCCAAUAGCGAAUCACAUAUGCAAGUUACAUUGACAACGAGGGGUGUGUACUACCUACCAACAGAAAAAACCGUACAGAAAAUAAUAAUUGCAAGCAAUUGGCCAUCUGAGAAGCUAGAGGGAGAAGAACCUGCACUACCAGAAGCAACUGGGGGAGUAAGAGGUAGAAGAGUUCGUACAACCAGGAGGAGAGAAACUGAACACAAGGGAACUGGAUGGAAGGAGGGCAAGCGAAAGGGCACAUCCAGGCGGGAGAACAUCAGUCAGCCAUGAAAAGCUGGUGAAGUGAAAGCACGAUGAAGGGAAUAGAAAGCUGGUAAGGAUAGGGAUGAGGAAGCACGGCAUGGAUAAAUUAUCCAAGACGCAGCCAGCCAUGAAAACAUGAUAUGAGGUAGCCAGGUGGGUAACAACUGAGCCAAGUGUCAUAGAGAGAAUCUUGGAGUCCUCUCUUGCAAUUUGGUAAUUGACAAACGGUACUUAAAAGGAAAUCAAUUUGUUUUUCGAAAGAACAUUUCAAUAUACCUCAACUUACAUGCAGAAAAUAAGCUUACCUGCUCAACCAGCACAUCAUAAUAAGCAUAUCUAACAGACAAUCACUUGUGGAUUGCCCACAAGUUCAGCCCCAUCAUGUUCACCGCCAAUGCCUAUCCCUACAAGCAUAAUAAGUCAAACAAUGAACCAACCAAUGAAAUUCCAACCGAAGGCCAAAUAGACAGGAGAAAACACCAACAAGAUAUUUAGUUAAAACUGACAUGUGUAAUUUGAGAAAAAACAACUCAGCUUUGAUACAACAAUAGGAAUAUAUAACAAAACCAUAGUCAUUGUGAAAUUCAAAGAGCAUCCCCACAAACAAUGUAUAGUGAUUAAUAUCGUAAAAAUGAAGAACAUGCACACUCAGACUAUUAUAGCUAACAAAAAAGAGAAGUUGUCUAGAAUUGUUUUUAAACUCAUUCCCCAACAUUUGAACAAAACGAAGCUCAUACUAAUAACUAAUAGCAACAGAAGUGAUAAUGACUAUUCAGAUUUUGAUUAUCUUCAAACAAAUUUAGCGUGAAAAUUUGCCAAUUUUGGUGUUUCUUGUCAGUUCAUAUGGAUAUUCAUACACUAGAUUGACUUGCUAGUUCAUAACCAUUACAUAAAACGGCACCACACAAGUGUCAGGAUCAGGACAGAACACUACAACACAACAGCACUAUAUAUUGAAGAGGUCAUCAAACAUCAAAAUAAUCAAUUAAUAUGUGGUACUAUUUAACAUUGUUAGGUUGGCAUGAGAGGAUGCGAAUGGCAUUCCUUCGGUGUAAAGGCAUGCUAUUACCUGCAGCAUAGACACUUUCGAAUGCAUGAUGAUGUUGAUCAAAAAUGUUGUCAAUCCUGCAAAGUUGCUUGGAUUGCAAUGACUCAAGCUGUACCAUGAUGACACCAUCACCACCCGUCAGGAAGACCACAUUAUUUUCAUCUGCAAACCCUAAUAUGAAUAGGGGCGCAGUCUCGUCUGAAUAAGGAGAAAGUAGCUUGUCCAGUUGAAUGGUCCUUCCCAUCCCCCAUGAUGCAACACCAUCACAGUCGGUAUUCCUCUUCCAUAAUUGUGCGGUGAGGCCUGACAGGGAGAGUAAACCUAGCCCACCACCCUCGGCCCGCGUAACAGUGAAGCUAUUCUCCUCACCAACUGGCACUCGUAUCACAGCCAAGCUCUGCCUCUCCAAAUCAAACUCGAGAAGAGCACAGAAACACCCAGCAAGACGCCAGUACAAGGAAUUCCCAACCAAAACGGCCGACAAGCCCGUACAAUAAGCCGGGGCUGGAAUUGGUGUUAAGAUAAGAUCACCCCAUCCGCCGGUCUCUGACGAAUAAACGCAGGCGAGCACUUGCAAAUGCUGUUUGUCCCAUAUGGUGGCCUGUACCAGGACCACCUGGAAAUGGUCCGCCUCGCCGGCAGCACGAAGCACUCCCCCAUGAAUCUGGUUUUUGAUCCCGUCGAACCAUGGGGGAAAGGCGAUGCGGUGCUGGUCGCCGGUGACGGGGUCCCACACCAGGAUUUGCCUCGGUAAAUCGUGGGAGAUGAGCACAAGGCCAUGUUGGCAGCCGAGGAGCGAGAAGCCGUAGCUGUGGUCGAGCCGCAAGGAGAAGCGCCCGGCGGGGACACGGUCGGGGGGAUCCAUGGUAGGCUCGUAGGAGAUGCCUCGGCUGUCAUGGAUGAAGUAACCGAGGAGGGGAGGGCUGUGGCGGUGGUGCUCGCGGAAGCGGUGGAUGAAGCCGGGGUCGGAGACGAGAAGGCGCCAGCUCUUGCAGACGAGGGAGGUGCGGGGGAGGGUGGAUGGCAGCGGGGGAAGGCGGAGGAGGAUUUCGGAGAGUAGGUUUUCGUCCUCCAGCGGCGGCGCCGCCGACGACAUCUCGCGCCGCUGUGCUUUUUUUAGGGUUUCUACUAUGCGGCGAAAUGCUGGGGUCGAAGCAGCCGCCAGAGCGUGAGAAGUGCAGCAGGUUAGCCUGCGAGUGUGACUGAAAAGCCCACUACCAUGAGAGUGAAAGCCCACGACUACAUCAUCUCUCGGUGUGUGCGGCCCGGCAGGAAGUUUCAGCUAAUCCUUUCGGCUUUGCCUAAGAAAACAGAAACAAAAGUUUCUAAAAUAGACUAAUCCUUUUGCUGCAACCCCUAAAAUGGGGCCAUCCUGCCUUCAAAAAAUAAAAUGAGGCUAUCCUAAGCCUUUUGUAAUGCAUCUCGAAAGGAAAUUUCUUUGGAAAUAGUAGCAAGAAACUUGUCAAAUAAAAAAAAGAUACACUUGGAAUUUCAUUGUAGAAAAGAACUAGCGAUCUUUUUUUUUUAUUCUAUAUAGAAGCCAUCACCCUUAACUUGUCAAUCAAAACAAUUGAAAUGUGCUACACAUUUCUUACUACCAUUAACUGGGCAAAGGUUUUGCCUCGUUUUAAAGAAAUAGUUCUUGAGCGAUCAAUAUAUAGUUAUAUAUUAGUCCUUGUAUAUAAUAGCAGAAGCUUCGCCAUAUGCAUUUGAGCCCGAUUUCUUGCCUUCGAAAUCAGACAUUCUUAGAUAUAGUCACUUCACUCUACCGAAAGUUUUUUCCCCUCAUGACAUCACUGCGAUUUCGCAUGUGCCGCGGCUAAGUCAACACAUAAACAAGGUAGCUUUUCGAAGCUACCACGCUAAACAUGAAGGCAACUUCCCAAGCCGUUGCCCCGAUUUCACUAGCCGUUACCAUCCGACAGAAGACCAAACCUCAAGCGAUACCUCUCAGAGGAAGCGACGAGCAUGCCAAUGACGCCCACUCCAGCAAAGCCGAAAUUUUGGUUUUCACCUGGAGAGCCAUGACUCAAAUGUCGAGCCCUAUCACAGCUCCAGCCAUGGCGAGGCAUGGAACAGGCAACCAACGGCUAGGUUUUCGAGAAAAGAUUAAUUUGUGAGGGACUUUUCAUCAGAUGGCCUCUUUUUUAAGAGGCUUUUAGUAGAGAGGAUUCUACAGUGCAAGAUUCACUCUACUUCUUUUUCUAAACAAGAAGACUCAUCCCCAGCACACUUAAGCACAGGGGUAUAUAUACAUCAUAUGUAUUGUAUGUUUCAUUUCUUAGAGCAUCUCCAACAGUCGCGCAACGUCCUGCGCACUAAAAGUCAGGAUACAGCGCCGGGUGAGCCAGGUUUUGCGCGCGGCGGCGCGCUGGCUCCAGCGGCCGCCGCAAAAUAAAGCGCGCCCGAGCCGCUCCAGCAAGCGCGCUAUAUUUUGUACAUAGUUCUCAAUUCUUCUCCUACAAUACAUAGUCAUAGUACAUAGUUCUACGAUACAACUAAGCGUACAUAGUUCUAGUCUUCUCCUACAAUACAUAGUCUCACAUAGAACUACUACUCGUCAUUCUCCGACUUGGACUCUGUCUUGGUGAUGUCCUCCUCAAACGUUUGAGCAUAGGCGUCAAAGAACCGAUCAUCAUCCCAGGACGACGCAUCUCCUAGCGCCAUGUUGUAUUUGUUAAGAAUAAAGCGACGCCAUUAGCGCUAAGAGUCGUCACGUCUGUCCAAAGCGCCGUACGGACGCGAACGUCCGUACGGGCGUCUUCUCGCGCCACAGGCGCCUAUUGUAAACGGACGCCUCUCCGGAGGCGCCCCAAAUCCUUGUAUAAAUAGGGCUUUGCCCAGAAUCAAUAAACACAAGUUUUCCAUCAAAUCUUUACACGUUAUCAGCCACGCUAGCCUCAACCAACAGAGCACGAACAAGAAGAGACAAGAAGGUGAGAUGGCAGGGAUGAACCUGCAUAGAAUCGCCUCUGCCCUUGUUCGAUUCAUUGGACGGGAGAUCCGUCGAUCUGCCAGACGCCACAGUGCUGGUGUUCCUCGCCAUUGGGGCCUAGGCAACGGCCGCCGUGGUCGCCGUGGUCGUCAGGAUCACCCUGGCCCCGCCACCGCAGAGCAGGCAGAACCAAGCAACCCAUCUGCCGCCGUCCACCACGCCUACCAGGCACCCCCCAUGCCGGCCUUGUUGGAAAUAUGCCCUAGAGGCAAUAAUAAAAUGGUUAUUAUUAUAUUUCCUUGUUCAUGAUAAUUGUCUAUUGUUUAUGCUAUAAUUGUGUUAUCCGGAAAUCGUAAUACAUGUGUGAAUACAUAGACCACAACAUGUCCCUAGUGAGCCUCUAGUUGACUAGCUCGUUGAUCAACAGAUAGUCAUGGUUUCCUGACUAUGGACAUUGGAUGUCAUUGAUAACGGGAUCACAUCAUUAGGAGAAUGAUGUGAUGGACAAGACCCAAUCCUAAGCAUAGCACAAGAUCGUGUAGUUCGUUUGCUAGAGCUUUUCCAAAUGUCAAGUAUCAUUUCCUUAGACCAUGAGAUUGUGCAACUCCCGGAUACCAUAGGAGUGCUUUGGGUGUGCCAAACGUCACAACGUAACUGGGUGGCUAUAAAGGUGCACUAUGGGUAUCUCCGAAAGUGUCUGUUGGGUUGGCACGAAUCGAGACUGGGAUUUGUCACUCCGUAUGACGGAGAGGUAUCUCUGGGCCCACUCGGUAAUGCAUCAUCAUAAUGAGCUCAAUGUGACCAAGUGUUUGGUCACGGGAUCAUGCAUUACGGUACGAGUAAAGUGACUUGCCGGUAACGAGAUUGAACAAGGUAUUGGGAUACCGACGAUCGAAUCUCGGGCAAGUAACGUACCGAUUGACAAAGGGAAUUGUAUACGGGAUUGAUUGAAUCCUCGACAUCGUGGUUCAUCCGAUGAGAUCAUCGUGGAACAUGUGGGAGCCAACAUGGGUAUCCAGAUCCCGCUGUUGGUUAUUGACCGGAUAGUCGUCUCGGUCAUGUCUGCAUGUCUCCCGAACCCGUAGGGUCUACACACUUAAGGUUCGGUGACGCUAGGGUUGUAGAGAUAUUAGUAUGAGGAAAUCCGAAAGUUGUUCGGAGUCCCAGAUGAGAUCCCGGACGUCACAGGAGUUCCGGAAUGGUCCGGAGGUAAAGAUUUAUAUAUGGGAAGUCCUAUUUUGGCCACCGAAAAAUGUUCGGGAUUUUUCGGUAUUGUACCGGGAAGGUUCUAGAAGGUUCCGGAGUGGGGCCCACCUGCAUGGGGGGACCCACAUGAACUUGGGUAGUGGGGGCAAGGCCCCACACCCCUGGUCAAGGCGCACCAAGAUCCCCCCUUAGAAGGAAUAAGAUCAUAUCCCGAAGGGAUAAGAUCAAGCAUAUCCCGAAGGGAUAAGAUCAAGAUCCCUAAAAAGGGGGGAUAACAAUCGGUUGGGAAGGGAAAUGGUGGGAUUUCUUUCCCCCACCUUUGCCAACGCCCCAAUGGACUUGGAGGGCAAGAAACCAGCCCCCUCCACCCCUAUAUAUAGUGGGGAGGCGCAUGGGAGACGUACCCCUGCCCCUGGCGCCUCCCUCUCCCUCCCGUGACACCUCUCCCUCUCGCUGAGCUUGGCGAAGCCCUGCCGAGAUCCCCGCUGCUUCCACCACCACGCCGUCGUGCUGCUGGAUCUCCAUCAACCUCUCCCUCCCCCUUGCUGGAUCAAGAAGGAGGAGACGUCUUCCCCAACCGUACGUGUGUUGAACGCGGAGGUGCCGUCCGUUCGGCGCUCGGUCAUCGGUGAUUUGGAUCACGACGAGUACGACUCCAUCAACCCCGUUCACUUGAACGCUUCCGCUCGCGAUCUACAAGGGUAUGUAGAUGCACUCCUAUCCCUCUCGUUGCUAGAAGACUCCAUAGAUUGUUCUUGGUGAUGCGUAGAAAAUUUUAAUUUCUGCAACGAUCCCCAACAGUGGCAUCAUGAGCUAGGUCUAUGUGUAGUUUCUAUGCACGAGUAGAACACAAACUUGUUGUGGGCGUAGAUGUUGCCAACUUUCUUGCCACUACUAGUCUUAUCUUGUUUCGGCGGCAUCGUGGGAUGAAGCGGCCCGGACCGACCUUACACGUACGCUUACGUGAGACAGGUUCCACCGACUGACAUGCACUAGUUGCAUAAGGUGGCUAGCGGGUGUCUGUCUCUCCCACUUUAGUCGGAUCGGAUUCGAUGAAAAGGGUCCUUAUGAAGGGUAAAUAGAAAUUGGCAUAUCACGUUGUGGUUUUACGUAGGUAAGAAACGUUCUUGCUAGAAACCUAUAGAAGCCACGUAAAAACAUGCAACAACAAUUAGAGGACGUCUAACUUGUUUUUGCAGCAUAUGCCUUGUGAUGUGAUAUGGCCAAAAGGAUGUGAUCAAUGAAAUAUAUGUGAUGUAUGAGAUUGAUCAUGUUCUUGUAAUAGGAAUCACGACUUGCAUGUCGAUGAGUAUGACAACCGGCAGGAGCCAUAGGAGUUGUCUUUAUUUUUGUAUGACCUGCAUGUCAUUGAAUAACGCCAUGUAAAUUACUUUACUUUAUUGCUAAACACGUUAGCCAUAGAAGUAGAAGUAAUCGUUGGCGUGACAACUUCAUGAAGACACGAUGAUGGAGAUCAUGAUGAUGGAGAUCAUGGUGUCAUGCCGGUGACGAAGAUGAUCAUGGCGCCCCGAAGAUGGAGAUCAAAGGAGCAAUAUGAUACUGGCCAUAUCAUGUCACUAUUUGAUUGCAUGUGAUGUUUAUCAUGUUUUACAUCUUAUUUGCUUAGAACGACGGUAGCUUAAAUAAGAUGAUCCCUCGCAAUAAUUUCAAGAAAGUGUUCCCCCUAACUGUGCACCGUUGCGAAGGUUCGUUGUUUCGAAGCACCACGUGAUGAUCGGGUGUGAUAGAUUCUAACGUUCGAAUACAACGGGUGUAAGCCAGAUUUACACACGCAAUACACUUAGGUUGACUUGACGAGCCUAGCAUGUACAGACAUGGCCUCGGAACACGGAAGACCGAAAGGUCGAGCAUGAGUCGUAUAGAAGAUACGAUCAACAUGAAGAAGUUCACCGAUGUUGACUAGUCCAUCUCACGUGAUGAUCGGACACGGCCUAGUUGACUCGGAUCAUGUUUCACUUAGAUGACUACAGGGAUGUCUAUCUGAGUGGGAGUUCAUUGAAUAAUUUGAUUAGAUGAACUUAAUUAUCAUGAACUUAGUCUAAAAUCUUUACAAUAUGUCUUGUAGAUCAAAUGGCCCACGUUGCCCUCAACUUCAACGCGUUCCUAGAGAAAACCAAGCUGAAAGAUGAUGGCAGCAACUAUACGGACUGGGUCCAGAACCUGAGGAUCAUCCUCAUAGCUGCCAAGAAAGAUUAUGUCCUAGAAGCACCGCUAGGUGACGCACCCAUCCUAGAGAACCAAGACGUUAUGAACGCUUGGCAACAGCGUGCUGAUGAUUACUCCCUCGUUCAGUGCGGCAUGCUUUACAGCUUAGAACCGGGGCUCCAAAAGCGUUUUGAGCAACACGGAGCAUAUGAGAUGUUCGAAGAGCUGAAAAUGGUUUUCCAAGCUCAUGCCCGGGUCGAGAGAUAUGAAGUCUCCGACAAGUUCUUCAGUUGUAAGAUGGAGGAAAAUAGUUCUGUUAGUGAGCACAUACUCAAAAUGUCUGGGUUACACAACCGCUUGACUCAGCUGGGAGUUAAUCUCCCGGAUGACGCGGUCAUUGACAGAAUCCUUCAGUCGCUUCCACCGAGCUACAAGAGCUUUGUGAUGAACUUCAAUAUGCAGGGGAUGGAAAAGACCAUUCCUGAGGUAUAUUCAAUGCUGAAAUCAGCGGAGGUGGAGAUCAAAAAGGAACAUCAAGUGUUGAUGGUGAAUAAAACCACUAAGUUCAAGAAAGGCAAGGGUAAGAAGAACUUCAAGAAGGACGACAAGGGAGUUGCCGCGCCCGGUAAGCCAGUUGCCGGGAAGAAGCCAAAGAAUGGACCCAAGCCUGAGACUGAGUGCUUUUAUUGCAAGGGAAGUGGUCACUGGAAGCGGAACUGCCCCAAGUACUUAGCGGACAAGAAGGCCGGCAACACCAAAGGUAUAUGUGAUGUACCCCUGCCCUGGCGCCUCCCUCUCCCUCCCGUGACACCUCUCCCUCUCGCUGAGCUUGGCGAAGCCCUGCCGAGAUCCCCGCUGCUUCCACCACCACGCCGUCGUGCUGCUGGAUCUCCAUCAACCUCUCCCUCCCCCUUGCUGGAUCAAGAAGGAGGAGACGUCUUCCCCAACUGUACGUGUGUUGAACGCGGAGGUGUCGUCCAUUCGGCGCUCGGUCAUCGGUGAUUUGGAUCACGACGAGUACGACACCAUCAACCCCGUACACUUGAACUCUUCCGCUCGCGAUCUACAAGGGUAUGUAGAUGCACUCCUAUCCCUCUCGUUGCUAGAAGACUCCAUAGAUUGUUCUUGGUGAUGCGUAGAAAAUUUUAAUUUCUGCAACGAUCCCCAACAGGCCUUCGUCGCUCCGCCAAUGGACUGGGCUCCCGCCGAGGCUGCAGCCCCGUUCCUGGGCGAGGAGGAGUUCUUCGACGCCGCCCAGGUCCCGCCACCGCCGGGGAUCUUCUUCGGCAAUGGCAUGGACGCAGGCGUGGCCUUCUGUCCGGUGCACGGAUACGGCCCUUGCCCUGCCCGCGAUUUCUGCCCCGUGCACGGGUACGGGCCGUGCCCUCCACCGCCGGCCACUCUACCACCGGAACCGGAGGUCAUCGAUGAGCCGCUUGCCUACCCAGACCUCCCAACGCCGACGCCCGCCGACGAAGACGAGGAGCACUUCGCCCCUCCAGGCUAUGGCCAUGUUCCCGCCAUGAUGGAGUGGGAGGUGACGCCGAACGAAGAGGAGGAGCAGUGGCUCAACUCCGUUGUGAAGCCGGAGCCAACCACACCAGCGGAGACCGACGAACCCUGCGCCACCAUCCCCGACCUCAACACUGCCACUGGCGUGAAGAUUGAGGAAGCGGCGUCGUCUUCCAAGGCCCCAGCAUCUCCGCCGCCUCCGCCCCCGGCAAGCCCGCAAACGCCUCCACCGGCGGCUCGCCGGAUCCUUCGCCGUUUCGCGGCGGCGCUGGAGCAGCACCGCCCCGGCCUCCGCUCCGGCUCCUGGGCCCCUGCAGGCCUCCACCUCCCCGGCUAUGCUGCGGGGGGCCCGUCCUCCUCCUGAAGAUCGGCGGCGGCCGGCGGGAUCCCGUGGAGGUGGCGGUGGAAUGGGGGGAAUUGACCCCAACCGCCUCACCUCCCAGCCCCCCUUAUCCGCUCGAUGUCUCCAUCAGCGGCGCUGCCAUGGGCCUGGGCCGAAAGGCCUCGUGGGUUGUGGCCCAUGUUGCAACGACCAGAAAAAAAACCAACGGGUUAUAGGCUAGAUUGCAGAAAAAUCCUUAUAUUAUCGGGAUUUCGUGCAUUAGUCCAACUACUAGUACUAAUUUAGUGCUUGUCAUGUUUUAGCCCCAUAAAUUUGGGAAUUCGCAGAUAGGUUCAACUACUAGUGCUGUAAUUAAGUACUUGUCAUGUUUUAGACCUUGUAUCUCGAUGUGAUUAUAUAUUGUACUCAAUUAAAUUGUGUAUUGAUGUUUAGACCAUAUUAUUUCUAUAAAUCAUUAUAUGUUCAAUGUGUUUGCAAUUUGCAAUCCCUAUAACAUGUACAAAUGGUACAAUAAUAUUAUUUUGCAAUUGAAAAUCAUUUGUUAAAAUCGACGGAAUUGCAGCUAUGGAUGUUAAAAUCAGUCUUUCAUCCCGUGGAAUUGCAGCUGCACUCAUACCUCCUGCAGACCCUCCCCAAGAGGGAAUUGCACAAUUAACCGAACAACAACAAUAUGUUGCUUUAUACAUAAUAAGGCACCAUAUCCAUCUAGAUCUGAAAUCUGAAUAUUUGAUGGAGGAAUCUCCAAGCAAUAUGUGGCAAUCACUUAAGACUAGAUAUGAACAGCAAAAGGCAGUUAUACUUCCUGAAGCUAGUCAUGAGUGGACCCAUUUAAGACUCCAAGAUUUCAAAUCGAUCGGAGCUUAUAAUCAUGAGGUUCAUAAAAUUUGUUCAAAGUUGCAGUUUUGCGAGAAGGAGCCUACAGAAGCAGAUAAGAUAGAAAAGACUCUAUCCACUAUGCUCCCAGCUGACAGGAUCCUACAACAACAAUAUCGUGCCCGCAAUUAUACAGUUUACUCUGAACUUAUACAUGUGCUCCUCUAGGCUGAGAAACACGAUGAACUUCUGCUAAAGAAUAGUAAUCAACGCCCAGUUGGGGCCGCUCCUCUGCCUAAAGUACAUGCAAAUUUUCAGAAAAAUACCAAGUUCAAUGGUUCUUUCAAAGGCCAAAACAAGAACUUCAAGGGUAAGAGCAACCACAACAAGAAGAACAAGCCACAAAAUUCAGACAAGGGGAAGGGCAUAACAAAGAAUAAGUUUGAUAAAACUAAACUUUGCCAGAAAUGUGGAUGCUACAAGCAUGUCACCAAAAAAUGCCGCACCCCAAGACAUCUGGUAAACCUCUACCUGCAAUCCGUGGGACGUAACAGACCUGCCCAAGGAGCAAGAUAUCAAGCUCACUUCAAUCUUCAACCUGAUAACAACAAGGACGCUGGUUGCUCGCAAGAUGUUCGAGGAGCACCAAGUAACAACAAGGAAUUCCAUAUAUCGCAGGACUCCAUGGACACGGAGAAUAUGAUGACCGAAUACGCCGCCGACAUGUUCGGGGACUUUGACUAGUCAAUUGACUCCAUUUAGAUAUUUUAUUUGUUUACAUCCAUCAGAUUGUUGUAAUAAAAACAUAUUAUUAUUGUUAUUGUCAUCAUUCUAUAUUGUAAAAACACAAUAUAUAUUGUAUCAGCACUUUGAUAUCAAUAAAAUUUGUAUGUAUUCUAUAUAUCCAAUAAAGUGUUUUUCAUUAAACUGAAAAUUCCACAUUUUUAAUAUAUAGAUUUCUACGGGAGUCAAUCCAAUGGAGGAGGAAAUGUGCCUUGUGGACAGUGGCACCACAAACUCUAUACUUAGGGAAAUAAAGUAUUUCCAAACUCUUACAAAAUUGAAUGGAGAUAUUUUAACAAUCGCUGGACGCGAUGCGGUAAUUGUUGGCAAAGGACGUGCCAUAUUUACCCUCCCUAUGGGUACAUAAAUUGUAAUUAAGGAUGCUUUAUUGUAUCCCGAUUCAACUCGUACCCUCAUAGGUUAUAGAGAUAUCCGCAAAAAUGGUUUCCACAUUGAAACUUAUGAAGAUAACAAAGAGGAAUAUCUCCUCUUUACCAAAGACAACGGAUAUGGCAAACAUAUAUUUGAGAAAAUUCCCUCUUUAUCAUCAGGAUUGUACUACACGUACAUAAAACCCGUAGAGCACGUUGCGUAUAAGGUAAUUUUUUAGAAUGUAAAUGCAUUCCAAACUUGGCAUGAUCGCCUUGGUCAUCCUGGUAUAGGGAUGAUGAGGAAAAUUAUCUGCAAUUCCAAUGGUCAUGACUUAAAUGAAGCUAAAUUCCCACAAUCUUCAAAUUUUAUGUGCACUGCAUGUGCUACUGGGAAACUCAUUUUAAGACCCUCAUAUCUUAAAAUUCAAGCAGAACCACUAAAAUUCCUUGAACGAAUUCAAGGUGAUAUUUGUGGUCCGAUCCAACCAUUGUCUGGACCUUUUAGGUAUUUCAUGGUUCUAAUAGAUGCAUCUACACGAUGGUCUCACGUGUGUUUACUAUCUACAUGAAACCAUGCAUUUGCCAAAAUAAUGAGACAAGUUAUCAAAUUGCAAGCUCAUUAUCCUGAGAAUCGAAUUAAAUCAAUUCGAAUGGACAACGCUGUUGAAUUCUCUUCACAUGCUUUCAAUGAUUAUUGCAUGGCAUUAGGCAUUGAAGUUCAGCACUCUGUCCCAUAUGUCCACACUCAAAAUGGAUUGGCCGAAUCUCUAAUUAAGAGAAUUAAGCUCAUUGCACGACCGUUACUAAUGAAUUGCAAUUUACCAACUUCUUGUUGGGGUCACGCAGUUUUACACGCUGCUAACUUAAUCCAAUUGCGACCAACUGCAUAUCACAGCACUUCCCCUCUGCAAUUAGUACGUGGAAACCUACCAAAUAUUUCCCAUCUGUGUAAAUUCGGAUGCGCCACAUAUGUGCCAAUCUCACCACCGCAGCGUACAUCCACGGGCCCACACAAAAAAUUGGGGAUCUAUGUGGGGUACAAAUCACCGUCGAUAAUCAAGUACCUUGAACCCCUCACGGGGGAUCUGUUCACAGCCCGUCACGCUGAUUGCAUCUUCAAUGAGGACCAUUUCCCGGCAUUAGGGGGAGACAUCAAGUACCAAAAAGAAUGCCCGGAAAUCGAUUGGAAUGCCCAAGGCAUUUCCUCCCCUGAUCCACGUACUCAAGAAACUGAACUUCAAGUUCGGAAAAUAAUUAAUUUGCAACACAUUGCAAAUAACCUGCCAGAUUCAUUUACUGACUAUAAAGGUGUUACCAAAUCCUACAAUCCUGCUAAAAACGCGCCCGAAAGAGUGAAGGUACCAACAAAAACUACUCAACCCCCUGUUCAAAGGAAGAGGGGGAGAAGUACGACCACGGAACAUGAUUCAGCUCCUCACAAGCAACAAAGGAAACAGAGAAAGAAACUCCCUGAACCAGUAAAUGUAAACCAACCUAGCGUUGAUAAUCAUCAAAUGGGUAAUAUACACCCAGUGGAAGAACAACCUCCACAACCCAGCUCAGUUGUGCACAAACUAACUGGGACAUCGGAACACCCAGACUCAAUCGUAUUGGGAAAUCAUGAAGAGUCACUAAGGGUGCAGGAAAUUUCUAUCAACUAUGUUGAUUCUGGAGAAUCAUUUGACCGUAAGACUACCACUGUCGACAUAUAUUUUGCUGAAAAGAUUGCAGAUACCCUUGAUACGUCUCCAAUGUAUCUAUAAUUUAUGAAGUAUUCAUGCUAUUAUAUUAUCCAUCUUGGAUGUUUAUGGGCUUUAUUUUACACUUUUAUAUUAUUUUUGGGACUAACCUAUUGACCCAGAGCCUAGUGCCAGUUCCUGUUUUUUUCCCUUGUUUCAGUGUUUCGAAGAAAAGGAAUAUCAAACGGAGUCGAAACGGAAUGAAACCUUCUGGAGAAGUUAUUUUUGGAAGGAAAGCAACCCGGGAGACUUGGAGUGCACGUCAGGAAAGCAACAAGGGAGGCACGAGGCAGGGGCGCGCCCACCCCCUGGGUGCGCCCUCCACCCUCGUGGGCCCCUCAUGGCUCCCCUGACGUAUUUCUUCCACCUAUAUAUAUCCAUAUACCCUAAAACGAUCGGGGAACCGAAUAGAUCGGGAGUUCCGCCGCCGCAAGCCUCUGUAGCCACCAAAAACCAAUUGGGACCCUGUUCCGGCACCCUGCCGAGGGGGGAUCCCUCACCGGUGGCCACCUUCAUCAUCCCGGCGCUCUCCAUGACAAGGAGGGAGUAGUUCACCCUCGGGGCUGAGGGUAUGUACCAGUAGCUAUGUGUUUGAUCUCUCUCUCUCUCUCGUGUUCUUGAGAUGAUACGAUCUUGAUGUAUCACGAGCUUUGCUAUUAUAGUUGGAUCUUAUGUUGCUUCUCCCCCUCUACUCUCUUGUAAUGGAUUGAGUUUUCCCUUCUUAUCGGAUUGAGUCUUUAAUGAUUUGAGAACACUUGAUGUAUGUCUUGCCGUGCGUAUCUGUGGUGACAAUGGGAUAUCACGUGAUUCACUUGAUGUAUGUUUUGGUGAUCAACUUGCGGGUUCCGCCCAUGAACCUAUGCAUAGGGGUUGGCACACGUUUUCGUCUUGAUUCUCCGGUAGAAACUUUGGGGCACUCUUUGAGGUUCUAUGUGUUGGUUGAAUAGAUGAAUCUGAGACUGUGUGAUGCAUAUCGUAUAAUCAUACCCACGGAUACUUGAGGUGACAUUGGAGUAUCUAGGUGACAUUAGGGUUUUGGUUGAUUUGUGUCUUAAGGUGUUAUUUUACUACGAACUCUAGGGCUGUUUGUGGCACUUAUAGGAAUAGCCCAAUGGAUUGAUCGGAAAGAAUAACUUUGAGGUGGUUUCGUACCCUACCAUAAUCUCUUCGUUUUUGUUCUCCGCUAUUAGUGACUUUGGAGCGACUCUUUGUUGCAUGUUGAGGGAUAGUUAUAUGAUCCAAUUAUGUUAUUAUUGUUGAGAGAACUUGCACUAGUGAAAGUAUGAACCCUAGGCCUUGUUUCCUAGCAUUGCAAUACCGUUUGUGCUCACUUUUAUCAUUAGUUACCUUGCUGUUUUAUAUUUUCAGAUUACAAAAACCUGUAUCUACUAUCCAUAUUGCACUUGUAUCACCAUCUCUUCGCCGAACUAGUGCACCUAUACAAUUUACCAUUGUAUUGGGUGUGUUGGGGACACAAGAGACUCUUUGUUAUUUGGUUGCAGGGUUGUUUGAGAGAGACCAUCUUCAUUCUACGCCUCCCACGGAUUGAUAAACCUUAGGUCAUCCACUUGAGGGAAAUUUGCUACUGUCCUACAAACCUCUGCACUUGGAGGCCCAACAAACGUCUACAAGAAGAACGUUGUGUAGUAGACAUCAUGCUCUUUUCUGGCGCCGUUGCCGGGGAGGCUAGGUAAGCGGCACUCACACCCCGUCAACUAAGCUCUUUUCUGGUGCCGUUGCCGGGGAGGUGAGUGCUUGAAGGUAUAUCUUUAGAUCUUGCAAUCGAAUCUUUUAGUUUCUUGUUUUAUCACUAGUUUAUUUUAUAAAAGAAAACUACAAAAAAUGGAAUUAAGUCUGUCUCAUACGCUUCAUCUUUUUAAUAUAUUUCGUGAGAAUGAUGGAAAGGAAAAUUGUGCCAAAGUGUUAGAAGAAGAAUGCAUUAAAAUGUUUGGCACUAAAUAUUUGAAUGAUGAGCAUGAUUGCAAUGUUGUUAGUAUGAACUCCUUGAAUAUCCAUAGUACUAAUGAUGAUUGCACUAGUCAUGAUGAAAAUAUCUCUUAUAAGCAUGUCGAUUUUUGUGGAGUGUAUUGGGUUUGCAAGUACAUACCAAAUAGGGAAGAUAGAUAUUGCAAGAGGCAUAAGCAUUUAGAAACUAAAUUGUUGGAAGAAAGGCUAGAUGUUUGUGCUAAAAAUUUAAAUUUUCUUAGCCGUACUUGUGAACUUUGCAAUGAACAUGAUCAUUCCAGUACCCAAUGCAAAUUGUUUCAUGAUCAUAUCGUGUCCAAAAAUUGUGAUGACUUCAUUUCCCUUGCACAUUAUAAUGAACUUACUUUGCUCUUGGGUUAUGAAUAAAUGAAACGUAUAACUAAGGUUAUUCCAGAAUUUGCCCUUGAUAGAGUUCUUCAUUUUGAUCUAGAGGAAAUUUAUAUGUAUUGCACGGUGAAUUGCAUUGAAAAUCCUUUUAUUGCCAACUACAUAAAAAAGAAAACAAAUAGAAGAUGAAGAGAAUACUAAUGAAAGGGAAGAGACUUCCCAAUAUCCUCCUAUUAUUUCUUAUGAUGAAUCAGGUAAUGAGGAGGAGCCUUCUAUUCAACCAAUCUCAUUAAUAAGGAGCUCCAAAAAGAGGAUUGAACCCACACAUGAUGUGGUGAAGAAGAAGAAAAUAAAAAGGAAGAGAGAUAAAAAGAUAUCUCUCCCAAAUAAAGUUGCUCCUAUUAUUGUUGUGCCUCAUGAAAAUGAAUCAAAAAUAAUUGUGGAAGAUGAUGCACUUGAUGAUGAUCUCGUUAUGCCUAUUGCUUAUUGUGAUGAUUAUGAUUGGGAAGAUAAUAAUACUUCUUAUGAUCUUGAAAAUCUUUUUGGCACUUGCUUGGAAGAAUAUGAUAAUUGCUAUACUAUUGGUGUUAUCCAUACUAUUAAUGAUGAGAGUGAUUAUGCUUAUGAUAUGAAAAGGCCCAAGCUUGGGGAUGCUAUGUUUGAAGAAGAUGAUGUUUUUGAGAAUAUAUUUGCUGCAAUUAAUGUUUGUCCCAAGCUUGGGGAUGCUACGUUUAAUGAAGAUGAUAUUUUUAGCCUCCAAGUUUUGAUAUGCAAAUUUGUUAUGAUGAUAGCAUGCCUCCUACUUAUGAUGAUUAUUGUGAUGAAACUUAUGCUAUAAAGAGUAGAGAUGAUUAUAUUUAUAAAACUUGGCAUGAUUAUGAUUACCCUUUUUCUGAACAUCACUCUUUUAAUGUGGAAACAAUUUAUAGUAUUCAAGUUUCUUAUGAUACUCCCACUAUUCCGAAUGAGAAGAAUUUUGCUUAUGUGGAGAGCAGUAAAUUUUCUAUGCUUGUAGAUCAUGAAAAGAAUGCUUUAGAUGCUGGUUAUAUUGUUGAAUUCAUUCAUGAUGCUACUGAAAAUUAUUACGAGGGAGGAAUAUAUGCUUGUAGGAAUUGCAAUCAUAUCAAGUUUCCUCUCUAUGUGCUUAAGGUUUUGAAGUUAUGCUUGUUUUGCCUUCCUAUGCUAGUUGAUUAUUGUUCCCAUAAAUUGUUUGAUCACAAAAUCCCUAUUCAUAGGAAGUGGGUUAGACUUAAAUGUGCUAGUCAUAUUCUUCAUGCAGCUCUCUUUAUGUUUCAAUUCUUAUCUUUUAUGUGAGCAUCAUUGAAAUCAUCAUGCCUAGCUAGGGGCGUUAAACGAUAGCGCUUGUUGGGAGGCAGCCCAAUUUUAUUUUAGUUUCUUGCUUUUUGAUUCUCUUUAGUAAUAAAUAAUACAUCUAGCUUAUGUUUAGAUGUGGUUUUAUGUUUUAAUUAGUGUUUGUGCCAAGUAGAACCUUUGGGAAGACUUGGGUGAAGUCUUUAUGAUCAUGCUGUAUAAAACAGAAACUUUAGCGCUCACGAGAUUAGCUAAAACUUUUUACUGGAGAGUGAUAUUUAGUUGAUUCUUUUUGAAGAUGAUUACUAUACAAAUUCCUCAGGUCCACCAAUUUAUUUUAGAAUUUUUGGAGUUCCAGAUAUUUGCGUUAGUUACAGAUUACUACAGACUGUUCUGUUUUUGACAGAUUCUGUUUUUCGUGUGUUGUUUGCCUAUUUUGAUGACUCUAUGGCUAGUAAAAUAGUUUAUAAACCAUAGAGAAGUUGGAAUAAAGUAGGUUUAACACCAAUAUAAAUAAAGAAUGAGUUCAUUACAGUACUUUGAAUUUGUUUUUUGUUUUCUUUCGUUAAUGGAGCUUUCGAGUUUUCUGUUAAGUUUUGUGUUGUGAAGUUUUCAAGUUUUGGGUAAAGAUUCAAUGGUGGAAUAACGAGUGGCAAGAGCCUAAGCUUGGGGAUGCCCAAUGCACCCCAAGGUAAUAUUCUAGGAUAACCAAGAGCCUAAGCUUGGGGAUGCCCCGGAAGGCAUCCCCUCUUUCGUCUUCGUUCAUCGGUAACUUUACUUGGAGCUAUAUUUUUAUUCACCACUUGAUAUGUGUUUUGCUUGGAGCGUCAUUUUAUUUUGCUAGUAUUUGCUUGCUGUUAUUUAGAAUAAUGUUUUGCAUCUCUAUUUUCAAUAAAGAUGUCAAGGAUAGUCUUUACCAUGCUUAUUUUGCAAGUAUACAUAUUGCUGUUUCAAAACAGAAAGUUUACCGCUGUUGCAAAAAUUCCCUAGAAAAGUCAGAAUGUGAUAAAAUGUUGAAACGUUUUGCAUAAUAAGGUCUGAUAAAUUCACUACAGUGGCAAUUUUCUUUCAUAAUUUUUGGAGCUAGGGAAGUAUGGAUCUUGCUGCAUUCUUUACAGACUGUACUGUUUUGGCAGAUUGCUGUUAUGUUUGCAUAUGUUUGCUUGUUUAAUGAUUUAUUUGAGGAUAGGAGUAUUAAAUAUGCAAAGGAAUUUAGUAUGCAAUGUUGAAUAAUAAUUUAAGUGAUUUGCUACAGUAGAGAAUGAUAAGGUUUUGCAUUGGUUUAUACUAACCUAUCUCACGAGUCCUUGUUGAGUUUUGUGUGGAUGAAGCUUUUGAGAUUUAGGGAGACCGUGAUGUGAGAGGAAUUAAGGAGACAAAAAAUCUCAAGCUUGGGGAUGCCCAAGGCAUCCCAAGAUAAUAUUUAAAGAAGUCUCAAGCAUCUAAGCUUGGGGAUGCCCCGGUAGGCAUCCCACCUUUCUUCUUCAACAAUUAUCGGUUAGUAUCGGUUGAACAUAAGUUUUUGCUUCUUCACAUGAUGUGUGCUAUCCUUGAAAUGUCAUUUUAUUUUGUUUUGCUUGCUGCUUGAAUAAAAUACAUUAGAUCUGAAAUUCUUAAAUCAGAGAGAGUUGUCACAUAGCUACAUAAUUAUUCAACUGCUCAUUGAUCUUCACUUAUAUCUUUUUGGAGUAGUUUGUCAUUUACUCGUGUGCUUCACUUAUAUCCUAUGAGUAAAUGGUUGAAUGAUUUGAAUGUCAUAAAUCUGAAAUUAUAUAUGUUUCAUAUACCUUUCCCAUGGGGAGUAAUGCCUUCACAUAUAAGAAGUAGAGGUGGUAAAUCUAUUGAAGGUUAGCAAACAUUGUAUUGGUCACUUGAACAAUUAAUGAAAGAAUAUUGAAGGAAGAGAGAUUUCACAUAUAAAUAUACUAUUUUGGACAUCUUCUAUGAUUGUGAUCCCCAUUAAUUAUUUUCAAACCUGAGCAAAUUAGUUGAAGUUGAACAAGGAAGACAACAUAAUGAAUUAUGCUUGGGUAUAUUUGUAUAGAAGUUAUAUUGUUAUGGAUCCUCUAACAUGUGGUGCUUGCUAUUUAGAAUCCUUUGCUAGCCAAAAUAUCUGUACUAAGCGGGAAUACUGCUUGUGCAUCCAAACUCCUUGAACCAAGUUUCUUCCAUGAGUGUCCACCAUAUCUACCUAUAUGCGGUAUUUACCUGCCGUUCCAAGUAAAUUUGCAUGUGCCAAACUCUAAACUUUCAAAUAAUAAUCUGUUUUGUAUGCCCAAAUCGCUCAUGUAGCGACUAGGGGCUAGCAGUAUCUUCCAUGCUAGGUGGGUUAUUCUCACGAUGAGUGGACUCCGCUCAUCAUUCAUGAGAAAAUGGCUGGUAACUGGGAUGCCCAGUCCCAUGAUCAAAAGAUCGAAAUCAAAUCAAAAAUAAUUGCAAACAAAACUCCCCCAGGUUUGAUGUUAGUUGGAGGCACCCGUUGUUUCGGGAAAACCAUGGAUUGAUGAUUGUUGGUGGAGGGGGAGUAAAAAUCUUUACCUUUCUGUUUGGGAACCGCCUAUAAUGUAUGUAGUAUGGAAGAUAUUGGGAACUCUUGGUCGUUAUGUUGACAAUGAAAGCAUACCUCUCAAAAUUAUUUUCAUCUCUGUUUUUGCUUCGAGCUCUGGCACCUCUGCAAAUCCCUGCUUCCCUCUGCGAAGGGCCUAUCUUUUACUUUUAUGCAAGAGUCAAUAGUAUUCCUUCUCAUUCCAACCUACUCUUUAGUUAGCAAGCAUCAUGUAAUGGAAAGAUCUAAGCAUAUAUGGCCAUUCAAAUAUAUUUGAGCAUGAACUAUUACUGUUGACAUUACCCUUGAGGUAAAAGGUUGGGAGGCAAAAUAUUAAGCCCCUAUCUUUCUCUGUGUUCGAUGAAUACUAUUUGUUCUAAAAAUAUGCUUUGAGUGGUAGCAAUCAUGGAAGACUAAAUGAUAGUUGAGUAUGUGAAGUUUGCUGAAUCAAAGCUCUGACAUAGACUCUUCCUGAAAAUAAGAUGAAUUGCAAUUGUUUGAUGACUGAGAACAUAGUUUGUUAGUUUUCAAGAAAGUUUAUGAUCUAUACUUUAACAUGUGAAUAGUUUGGUACUUGAUCAUGAAAAGUUCUAUGAGUUGAGCUACUGUUAUGACAUAUAAUGAUGCUAGAAAAUGUGAUUGAAAUUAUCAUUGAUCAAACUUAUGCACCUGCUAGCAUUCACACUUCAUAAAUUCUUUCUUUUAUCAUUUACCUACUCGAGGACGAGCAGGAAUUAAGCUUGGGGAUGCUGAUACGUCUCCAACGUAUCUGUAAUUUAUGAAGUAUUCAUGCUAUUAUAUUAUCCAUCUUGGAUGUUUAUGGGCUUUAUUUUACACUUUUAUAUUAUUUUUGGGACUAACCUAUUGACCCAGAGCCCAGUAGAAGUUCCUGUUUUUUCCCCUUGUUUCAGUGUUUCGAAGAAAAGGAAUAUCAAACGGAGUCGAAACGGAAUGAAACCUUCUGGAGAAGUUAUUUUUGGAAGGAAAGCAACCCGGGAGACUUGGAGUGCACGUCAGGAAAGCAACGAGGGAGGCACGAGGCAGGGGGGCGUGCCCUCCACCCUCAUGGGCCCCUCGUGGCUCCCCUGACGUAUUUCUUCCGCCUAUAUAUAUAUCCAUAUACCCUAAAACGAUCGGGGAACAGAAUAGAUCGGGAGUUCCGCCGCCGCAAGCCUCUGUACCCACCAAAAACCAAUCGGGACCUUGUUCCGGCACCCUGCCGAGGGGGGGAUCCCUCACCGGUGGCCAUCUUCAUUAUCCCGGCGCUCUCCAUGACGAGGAGGGAGUAGUUCACCCUCGGGGUUGAGGGUAUGUACCAGUAGCUAUGUGUUUGAUCUCUCUCUCUCUCUCUCGUGUUCUUGAGAUGAUACGAUCUUGAUGUAUCGCGAGCUUUGCUAUUAUAGUUGGAUCUUAUGUUGCUUCUCCCCCUCUACUCUCUUGUAAUGGAUUGAGUUUUCCUUUGAAGUAAUCUUAUCAGAUUGAGUCUUUAAUGAUUUGAGAACACUUGAUGUAUGUCUUGCCGUGCGUAUCUGUGGUGACAAUGGGAUAUCAUGUGAUUCACUUGAUUUAUGUUUUGGUGAUCAACUUGCGGGUUCCGCCCAUGAACCUAUGCAUAGGGGUUGGCACACGUUUUCGUCUUGAUUCUCCGGUAGAAACUUUGGGGCACUCUUUGAGGUUCUAUGUGUUGGUUGAAUAGAUGAAUCUGAGAUUGUGUGAUGCAUAUCGUAUAAUCAUACCCACGGAUACUUGAGGUGACAUUGGAGUAUCUAGGUGACAUUAGGGUUUUGGUUGAUUUGUGUCUUAAGGUGUUAUUUUACUACGAACUCUAGGGCUGUUUGUGGCACUUAUAGGAAUAGCCCAAUGGAUUGAUCGAAAAGAAUAACUUUGAGGUGGUUUCGUACCCUACCAUAAUCUCUUCGUUUGUUCUCCGCUAUUAGUGACUUUGGAGUGACUCUUUGUUGCAUGUUGAGGGAUAGUUAUAUGAUCCAAUUAUGUUAUUAUUGUUGAGAGAACUUGCACUAGUGAAAGUAUGAACCCUAGGCCUUGUUUCCUAGCAUUGCAAUACCGUUUGUGCUCACUUUUAUCAUUAGUUACCUUGCUGUUUUAUAUUUUCAGAUUACAAAAACCUAUAUCUACUAUCCAUAUUGCACUUGUAUCACCAUCUCUUCGCCGAACUAGUGCACCUAUACAAUUUACCAUUGUAUUGGGUGUGUUGGGGACACAAGAGACUCUUUGUUAUUUGGUUGCAGGGUUGUUUGAGAGAGACCAUCUUCAUUCUACGCCUCCCACGGAUUGAUAAACCUUAGGUCAUCCACUUGAGGGAAAUUUGCUACUGUCCUACAAACCUCUGCACUUGGAGGCCCAACAAACAUCUACAAGAAGAAGGUUGUGUAGUAGACAUCAACCCUUCUCACUGAUCAUGAUCCAAAGACCAUGGCAGAGUGCAAGAAACGCUCCGACUGGCCUAAAUGGAAGGAUGCAAUCCAAGCAGAAUUAGCCUCGCUCAAUAAACGAAAGGUAUUCACUGAAGCAAUACCUACACCUCCCAGAGUUUUCCCCGUGGGAUUCAAAUGGGUUUUUGUUCGUAAAAGAAACGAGAACAACGAGGUGGUGAGAUAUAAACAAGGCUCGUAGCACAAGGUUUCACGCAGAAACCCGCCAUUGAUUUCACUGAAACAUAUUCUCCAGUAAUGAGUACAACCACUUUCUGAUAUCUUAUAUCUUUGGCAGUGCAAAAUUGUCUAUCUAUGCAGUUGAUGGACGUAGUGACCGCUUACCUUUACGGUUCACUUGAUUCGGACAUAUACAUGAAGGUUCCUGAUGGAGUCCCAAUCCCGAAUCCAAACGCAAAAUGCAAUGCAUAUUGUGUAAAACUAAAUAAGUCUUUAUACGGCUUAAAACAGUCGGGUCGCAUGUGGUACAAUCGACUUACUGAGUUCUUUUUGAAAAAAGGAUACUCCAAUAAUGAUGAUUGCCCAUGUGUUUUCAUAAAAUAGUCCACAACUGGAUUUUUCAUUAUUUCUGUGUAUGUUGAUGAUCUGAACAUCAUUGAAACCACACAAGAUAUUGAUGAAGCACGCAAUCACCUAAAGGCGGAAUUUGAGAUGAAGGAUUUGGGUAAAACCAAAUUUUGCUUAGGAUUACAACUUGAGCACCUUCCCUCGGGUAUUUUGGUUCAUUAAACCGCCUAUAUCCAGAAAAUAUUGGAGAAAUUCAAUAUGGACAAAUCCUAUCCAUCCAAAACUCCUAUGGUAGUUCGAUCUCUAGACGUAGAGAAAGAUCAAUUUAGACCAAUGGAUAAUGGGAAGAGAUAUUAGGACCUGAAGUUCCAUAUCUCAGUGCCGUUGGAGCGCUCAUGUAUCUUGCAAAUUGCACCAGGCCUGAUAUUGCAUUUGCAGUGAAUUUACUAGCUAGACAUAGCGCAGCUCCUACUAAACGCUAUUGGACGGGAGUUAAGAAUAUCUUUUGAUAUCUCCAAGGCACAAAGGAUCUUGGCCUAUUCUCUCAAUUUCAGAGAAAUUUGGACAUUGAUAUGAUUGGGUAUGCUGAUGCUGGCUACUUAUCUGAACCCCACAAUGCCAGAUCACAAACCGGUUUUGUGUUCCUACAUGGUGGGACAUCCAUAUCAUGGAAGUCUUCCAAACAGACUCUAGUGGCUACAUCUACCAAUCAUUCUGAAAUAAUCUCUUUAUUUGAGGCAACACGUGAAUGUGCAUGGCUUCGCAGAAUGAUAAACCACAUACAAAAAUCAUGUGGUAAAGGUUCUAUCGAAUCUCCAACCAUUAUCUACGAAGAUAAUGCAGCUUGUGUUGCUCAAAUGCAAACAGGUUACAUAAAGAGCAAUAUCACUAAGCAUAUUUCUCCUAAAUUAUUUCCCCCCAUCAAUUACAAAAGAAAGGGAAGAUAAACAAUUUGCAAGUCAAAUCAUGCGAUAAUCUAGCUGAUCUAUUCACAAAGUCACUCCCAGCUUCAACAUUUGAAAAAUAUGUUCAUGGGAUUAGUAUGCGACGACUUCGAGAUUUGCAAAGAUCAGGGGAAGAGUCUCUCUGAAUCAUAACCUGUUCAAACAUUAUAUUGCAUUCUUUUUCCCUUUAUGAGUUUACUCUCAUGGUUCUCAUCAAGAUUUUUAAUGAGGUAAUAUCAACAUAAUAAUAUAUGUCAUACAUCCUAUUUUUCCCCACCGGUUUUUUUAAUGAGUGUAUACAAGCAUAUUAAUUGUCCUCUAAACUUACCAAUGAGUUUUAUCCUCAAGGUUUUCUCAUAUAAGUUAUCAAAGAGACGAUAACAUAUGUUGUAACAUUUUCUCCUUAUUUUUUCCUACUGGGUUUUAAUGGAGUUUUAACAACAUAUCAAGUUCUAUUCUCCUCAUAUUUUUCCCACAGGGUUUUUGGAGGAGUUAUUCAAAAUCAUAUACGGUUGUGAUUAAGAGCAAUAUUCUCAAAGUUAUACAAGGAUGCAAGACAUAGAAGAAGCAGCUUUGUACAAGGGGGAGUGUUAAGAAUAAAGCAACGUCAUUAGCGUUAAGAGUCGUCACGUCUGUCCAAAGCGCCGUACGGACGCGAACGUCCAUACGGGCGUCUUCUCGCGCCACAGGCGCCUAUUGUAAACGGACGCCUCUCCGGAGGCGCCCCAAAUCCUUGUAUAAAUAGGGCUUUGCCCAGAAUCAAUAAACACAAGUUUUCCAUCAAAUCUUUACAGUAUUUAGCGACCGCCUUCCGCGUUCGCUUGUCCUCGCGAUAGGCGGCUCGCUCCUUCCUCUUCUUCUUCCUCUCUGCCCUCCUCUCGGCGAAGAACUGCUCCUCGUUGAUGAUAUCUUGCGGGAAGCGUUGCCUCCACAACGCCAUGGCUUCCUCGUCCAUCUCGGCCAGGCUGAGACGGUGCUCCCGCCUCCGGUUUUUGCGCCGAUCCUCGUCGGUGAUAAGCCGCGGGAAAGGAGCCAACUCCUGUGCCCGCUCUGGCGUCGCCACGUCGGUGAAGUUCAUAUCCCAACGGGACCGCCGGAGGCGCCACGCCGCAGCGUUGUACGCGCGGGCGCCACGCCGCAGCGUCGUACGCGUGGGCGCCGUCCUGGGCGGUGUCGAAGGUUCCGAGGCCGAGGCGCACGCCGCCGCCCAACCGGAUCGAGGCGGAGUAGGUGCUGGACGGACGCACGCGGACGCCGCGGCAGCCCGAACCUCCCCGGCGGCGAGGCGGCAUGGUGGCGCGGUGGUGUCGUGUCGGUGGCGAGGAAAGAAAGCGCUAGAGCGAGCGAGAGAGAGCGGCAGAGGCGCUGCAAUUUAUAGGCGCGCCGGACGCGGUGCGCCAAAUCUAGCGCGCGAGCUGCCGCCUUUUCCCGCGUGCGCUAAUUUCCCGCCACCGCUGGAGCGCGCUCUAAAAGCCCAGUUUACCGCGCGCGCGCCUUUUGGCGCGGCUGUUGGAGAUGCUCUUAAGAAAUUAACUCAAAUUCAGAGAUGUUGUGGUACCAUUACGCAUUUAAACACGCAGAAAGAAUGAAACGUCAUUGGCAUAAGCAGAGACUGUGGGACAUGAGCAAACCAUGCUGAAAAAUAUAUGUGCACACACAAAACAGUAUAUGGAAUGCAAGCAAAUGAACAGCAAGAUUCAGCGACAGGGCCAACGCUAGGCAAGUUCAUUUCUCUUCCUGCCAGUUCGAAUAUUGCCUACGGAGAUCAGACGACUGAUGGCAGUUCACAGCUGAGAAGAUUAAUCCCAAGUUACUGUUGGCCAGGACAUGUUAAUUGCUACAAGUUCACAUCACAUUUACCAGGGCCUGAUAUAUAGAAGGUUAAUUCCUACAAGUUGACAUUAAAGGCCCUAUGCGCAGCAUACAGAAUGGAAGAACCGACAGCAAAUAGUCCAUUUCUGCAUCCCAGACAAUGGAAAUGUAAUGCUUGGUACCUGCAGAGCAACCAAUGCCAUCAGCCAGACUGAUUUGUAAUAUCGACUCAUGGAAAAAGUUCAAACUUAUCUCACAUUUUUUGUUGAUUCAAACAGUAAACAUUAGCUUCAACAUUGUGAAAAUUGCGAUAAAAGCUCAAAACUGAAUCAACUUAGCACUAUUGGACAAAACUAACAUUAUAUAGAGAGAACAGCAGUAGGGGAUCAAUUACUUUGUAGCGGCACACCUUCAAUUCCUAUUGUUAGCAUAUUCUCAGGUUUUUCGCUAUAUCUGGUCUUGUCAAUUUUAUCAUGUGUUCAGUUCUAAAAUUAUUAAACAUCCACAAUGAUCAAAAUCGAAGAAAAUGGACUGCACAGAAACCACACCAACAGCCAAAAUUUCUUAGAAGAACAGGGCCCUGCUUGGUAUCGUUUUCAUUGAAAACGAAACCAACAUUUGAACAGAGUGCCAGUACACGGGGAAUGGCCGAAUGCCUACCCAGUCAAGCACAAGGAUAAUUAUAGUUUGGAUCAGACAAACAAUAUUUAACUAUAAAUAUAGACACCUUUGCUUUGCUGAGUUUCUUACAAAUUCAGAUUAUCUGAGAAAAUAUUUAACUAAACCGCUCAAGAUUCGCAUAAUUAUACAAUAAUAACCGCAAGCAAUCAUUGGGUAUUAUAGUGAUCCUGAAUGAGCAAUAAUGUGAAAGAAAUUGCAAACCCAUAUUAAUAUAAGAAGUUUAAAGCCAAAUGCUGGGGUGUUUUAGUUAUCAAAUGUUUGCAUUGAUGGAACAAUAAAUAAAUCAUCAUCAAAUUUGACACUAGACAGACCAAUAAACAGAAAAAAAACUCAAUGAAAUGUAGCAAGCAGCAAAAACAAAAACAGGAACUACCACCGAAGGACAGGAAAGGAAAAAUAUUUCAUCCUGCUGCUACUAACAGAUAGUUACCUGCUGAGUCAAUACAUCAAGAUAGCAUGCCUAUCCCAACAAAUCACAUUAUGCCCGCGUCUACAAGAAUAGGAAGUCAAAGAACCAAUGAGAUUCCAACAAACAGUUAAAUAGCUACAAGGCGGCACUAACUAGAUAUAAACAUACUUCUAUAAUUCGAGUAAAAAAUCAGUUGAUCUGAUCAUAAUGAAAUUCAUAAUUAAGUAUGUCAAUAGGCCAGCAACAAAUAAAAAAAAGUCUCUACUGACAUCCAUAGAAUAAACCACAUAACUCAACAACAAUAAUACAAGAAUGUCAAAUAACUUGGUUUACUUUUACCUGCAGUAUAGACACCUUCAAAUGGAUAAUAGUGAAACCAGCGGUAAAAGCGGUAGGAUUCGAGAAGUUUCUUAAACUGCAAUGAUUCAAACUGGACCUGGAAAACGCCUAUAAAUGUCCACAGUAACACCACAUUGUUGUCCUCAGCAAACCCGAGUAUCCUUGGGCUCUGACUCCCCUCCUCUGAAUUCAUGGAAAGUAGCUUAUCUAGUGCAACAGUUCUUUCCAGCAUCCAUGAAGCUACACCAUCACAGUCCGUCUUCCACUUCCAUGCUUGGACGCAGUAGUCUGACAGGAAGAGGAAACCAAGACCACCACCCUCUGCCCGCAUAACGGUGACGGAGCAAGUGUUGACAUCGACGUCCACUGGCGCAUGUAUCACACUAAGGCUCUGCUUAUCCAAAUUAAAUUCAAGUAUUCCACAGAAAUUCCCUAUAAGGAACCAGUACAGGGAAUUCCCAACCAUCACAGAGCACAUGUCAUGGUAAACCAUGGUGAGUACAUCAGGAUCGUUGGCCGGAAGCAGCGUCGACACGAGAUUGCUCCAUACACCAGUGUCCGACGAGUACACCGAGGCCACAGCCUGUGAAUGAUGUAUGCCACUGUUGCCUACCAAGACAACCUGGAAAUGGUGGGGCACUCCGUCAGCACGAAGCACCGCUCCGCUAAUCAUGGUUUCCUCAUUGUCAACCCUGGGGGGACGUCUAGGUGGUGCCGGUCACCGGUGACGGGAUCCCAUACCAGGAGCUGGUUCCGCCGCCAGAGGAAGAUGAGCAUGAGGCCAUGGCGGCAUCCGAGGAUCGCGUAGGUGUGUAGGGCGUCGAUGGGAAAGGGGAAGCGGGCUUGCGGGGGCAUCCAGCGUAGGUUCGAAAUGGAUGGGGGAGAUACCUUGGACGAAGCAACCGAGGAGGGGAGGGUUGCGGCGGUGGUGCUCGCGGAAGCGGCGGAGAAAUCGGGCGUCGGAUACGAUGCCGCGCCAGCGCUCGCAGACGAGGAAUGCGCGGGGGAGGGAGGACGGCAGCGGGGGUAGGCGGCGGCGGCGGUGGCGGCUGCGGGGGCUGCUCAUCUCCUCACCGAUGCGAGCUCUGCUGGACUGGAAGAGUGAAGUUGAGAGAUGCGGGCUCGAACGUGACAAUGAAGAAGGAUAGCUCAAAAGGGAAGCCCAAAAGAAGGCUGGAGACUGAGGCCCAAACGAGCCCAAACAUUUUAAAAUUCGCGAAUUGCCGAAACAAAAAAAUACUCAAAACAACAUAGAGCUGCAAAGGAACGUAGCUAAUCAUAUCUUAGACUUUCCUUCUUGUCUUCGUGCAUACGAGGGUGGCCUCGUGAACGCAGCAGACCAUUUCUUGGACAAAAGAAACAAUGUUGCACACCCAUGGUUCCCCUUACGUAAUUGGUGGCGAUGGCCGCAUUGCAUAGAGUAAGGUAUCACACGGCUUUACUAUACCACCCAAAAACCUCUUGUAUCACUUAAAAAAAACCUCUUGUAUCUUUUUUCUAAGAAUUUUAAAAAAUGCUACUCCCUAGUGAUUUAACGCUCUUAUAAUUAUUUACAGAUGGGGGAGUACUUUUUUUAAUGAAACAUUUUCCACGUGUACGUGUGGAUGUAAACUAGGUAUGGACAAAAUUCUAUAUUCUCGCAAAAAAAAAAUUCUAUCGAUGCAUAUUUUUGUUUGUGGGCUACUGCAGGAGGAAACUGCGUGCACUGAAAAUGGAUCUACUAUUUGCUACUAUUGGCCUACAAAACUAUGUGUGGAGUAGCUUGAAAUUAGCGUAUUUCCAAAUAUAAUUUUGCAGACAUAUGUUUGUGGAAUUUUUCGUCCUACUCAUUUGAAAAAUGCCAAGAGGCAAAAUGGUGCACUCCUCCAUUCCUACCUUAGUGUUCUUUCAUUGUCUACGCCUCAAAACUUGUGUUGCUCUCGUCAUGUGGAUUGAUCACUCUUGGUUUGGCACAUUGUCGUCUCAGGCCUUGUCCUGAUUGGACAAUGUGUGACGGCAACAAUAUUUUUGAGUUUUUCCGUUCAUGUUUCUCCUUCUUUUUUUACCUUUGCUCUUCAGUUUUCAUAUACACAUGACGUCAGUGAAUCAUUGUCUCAGCAUCCUUUGUUACAAACAGUUUGUCCCUUGGCUAAAUGUGUUCAGCAAGCAGACAUUGGGAUCCACCAUUUGGGAUGUGACGGUCAAGCAAAAUACUCCCUCCGUUUGGAAAUAUUUGUCAGAAAAAUGGAUAAAAAUGGAUGUAUCUAAAACUAAAAUACGUCUAGAUACAUCCAUUUCUCCGACAAGUAUUUUCGGAUGGAGGGAGUAUUAAGAUAUUAAGAUAAACAUAGGGACUGGAGACAAAGUGAUAUCGUAUAUACUUUUAGAGUGUGCAAAGAAAGAUGGUUACAUAAACGAAGGGCAUGUUAACAAGGACUAUAAUGUUUCAAGACUCUUCAGCAUGCUAAAAAAAAUAACGAGCAUGUAUAUAGGUCAUACAUUUGUUUAAAAAAGAACAACUAUUAAAACACUUGCCCGCGCAUUUCCUUGUUAUUAUAGCAGGAGCUGAUAUGAUUCUGGUCAUUUAUGCUUAACAUUGUAGACACUGGUAUUUUCUUAUUGAAAACUGAAAAUGUAUACACUGCAGCCAAAGAAAUAGUCAAGUACUGAGAAGAAACUGCCUUUGGUGAAGCAAAUUUCCAGUCUGCCCAAGCAAGAUCCUCCGGUAGAAGGGACUCUUCCUUUACAAUCAUUGUCAGACUACUAAGACUGAUCUCUGGAAUUUAUCAGAAAAUGUUAUUGAAAAGCAAACUAGGACAUUUUCUAUCUUCAGAAAUAAGGAUGCAAAGCGUGUCGGGUAAAGCCCGCUAAAACAACUAGUACAAACUGAACCAACGCCAUGAUCAAGAUCGAACUGGGUUCUCCAAUUUUAACUAUGAGCGGACAUAUGCGGCACGGCCCUUGCAACACAAGAAAUGACACGAAAAAUAUAGGAUGUAAAGCCUAGCUACACUUUUGAAAUAAUAAGAAUCUGAAGCAUAUUUCAAAUUUAUGACAAGAGAAGGGUGAACACUUGUAUAUAGAGAAAAAUGAUCUCUUGCCGUUCACAUGAUUCAUCACUUCAGUUUCUUUUUUUCAGAACAAGAUUCAGUAUUUCAGUGACGGUCUCCUUGCUGAAACUCUUGCUGGGCCAUAUUGGUGCCCGAACGGAGCUACAGCCCAGCGGAGCAUCCGAUGUGUUCGUGGGCUUUCAGUCGGAGGCUACAUGUGCAGGCAUUGUGGCGUCUGAUCCGACUACAGCACUUCCCCGCACGAGAUCGGCGACAUGUCGCCGGCGGCGGCGCCGCUGGAGGACGAAAACCUUCUCUCCGAGAUCCUCCUCUGCCUCCCCCGCUGCCGUCCUCCCUUCCCCGCGCAUCCGCCGUCUGCAAGCGCUGGCGCCUCCUCGUAUCAGACCCCGGCUUCGUGCGCCGCUUCCGCCGCCGCCACCGACGCAGCCCUCCCCUCCUCGGCUGCUUCGUCCUAGACCGGGGAGGCGUCUCCUUCACACCUACCAUGGAUUCCCCAGAUCGUGUCCCCGCCAGGCGCUUCUCCUUGCAGCUCGACGAGGGCAACCGCUUCUGUCUCCUCGGCUGCCGCAAUGGCCUUGUGCUCAUCUCCAACAAUUCACGGAAGCAAGUCCUGGUGUGGGACCCCGUCACCGGCGACCAGCACCACAUCGCCUUUCCCCCAUGGUUCGACACAUACCCGAUUCAUGGGGCGGUGCUUCGUGCUGCCGGCGAGGUGGACCACUUCCAGGUGGUCCUGGUACAGGUCAUAUGGGAUGAAGGGCAUUUGCGAGUGCUCGCCUGAGUUUACUCGUCAGAGACGGGCGGCUGGGGUAAUCUUAUCUUAAUACCAAUUCCAUCAUCGGUUUAUUGUGCGGGCAUGUCAGCCGUGUUGGUUGGAAAUUCCUUCUACUGGCGCCUUGCUGGGUGUUUUUGUGCUAUUCUCGAGUUUGAUUUGGAGAGGCAGAGCUUAUCUGUGAUACAAGUGCCAGUUGGUGAGGAGAAUAGCUUCACUGUUAUGCGGGCCGAGGGUGGUGGGCUAGGUUUACUCUCCGUGUCAGGCUUCACCGCCCAAUUAUGAAAGAGGAAGGUUGAUUGUGAUGGUCUUUCAUCAUGGGGGAUGGAAAGAACUAUUGAACUGGACAAGCUAUUUUCCCUGAAUCCAGAGAAGGAGAGAGUGCCCCCGAGAAUACAUGGGCUUGCUGAGUACAAUAAUGUGGUGUUCCUGACUAGAGGUGAUGAAAGUGUCAUCAUGCUGCAGCUUGAGUCAUUGCAAUUCAAGAAGUUUCAUGGGAUUGGCAAAGGUUUAUAUCAUCAUCAAUUCGGAAGUGUCUAUUUUGCAGGUAAUAGCAUGCCUUUGAAGUAUAGUGACGUUGUGAUGUAGUGUUCUGUCCGUAUGCUUGUGUGGUGGUGUUUUAUGUACCCGGGUGUCUAGACACCCCUUUAUCAGCACCGUACAUUUACAAUUCAAUGCCUGGGGAUAUGUACCAGAGUACAGUAGCUAUCUUUUGUUUAAUAGGCUUGUUCGGUCGCCAAGCCAUGUCGGGACUAGACUGGCACUGUUCCUACUAGGCCGAUUCCAACCAUUAGGCUGGUCACAAUGGGCAGGAACAUAAGCUAGUAACCUACACACUUUCCUAGACUAUGUUACUACCUCCAUAGUGGGUAGGGACAUGUAUGUAGUGUCAUGCAACGAUGUAUUUAUUAGGUCAUAGACUCAUUGUUUUUUGGAGUAUGUGAUGUUCCGGUAACUUAGCUAGUUACCACAAGCAGGUCUUUCUUCAUUAAAUAUGUGCCACAUAAGCAAAGUUGCAUUGGAGUGUGUGAUGUUAUUUUUAAGUUCCUGCCCAUUGUGACCGGCCUUACCUGAGACGUCAAAAGGACAUGCUGAAAAGACGUGUCUUCUUGGACAUGUUGAAACUGUAGAUAUGAGAGAGGGUAAGCGCAUUGAUAAAAAGAAACAAAGGGUGGCUAGACCGCUAGAGUGCCUGUAUGUGUCUGAAGCAGCGGGAGCAAAGUAAAAAAAGGCUACUUACAUUUUACUACUCAGUGGGAUCUUCUGCGAGCAAUGUAUAUACUCUGGUUCACAAAAAUACUGUUUGGGAAAGGGAUACAGAAGAAGCCACAUAGUUCUUUACAUAAGUAAUCUGAGACCUCCAGAAAAUUACUGCAUGCAUGUUGGACCGUGGCUAACAUGCACCGGUUAUGAGUAGUCUCAUCGAACUAACACGCUUGACCUGCUGCCAGCCCACGCAUAGGCCUAGCGCCUGUUGCCUAGACCGUUCUUUAUCUUAAAUGACCUGUUUAAGUACUGUGGCACUGCAAAUCGUAUGCUGAUGUGCAGACCAUAGCACGAAUCUCAGCGGAGCUGAACAGGCAGAUAAGGGGGGGUCUGGACUCCGGGUGCCAUAGCACCUUUUUGUUUAUGUUAUAUAUGGUUAUGAACUGGAAAAAUAUUUGUCAGCGGUACCUAGUUUAGGGAGGGAUGUUGUUGUUUUGAAUAUUCCAACAUUAUUAAUUCUUGUUAUCACUAGGCUGUGUGGUACCUGAAAACUAGCUUGAAGUGACUAAAACAUCAAACGCAUAGCUCAAUAAGUAUAUUUGGAAGCUUAUUAAAGCAUGUUUGUGUAAUUCAGUAUCAUUACCUCUACUGAUCUUGCUAAGAAGCCUACAGAAAUUGAGAGCACAUAAAUGUGUACUCAAUGAUGUUUGGUUGUGCCCUAGGGGAAAAGCCAGGAACUUAUCUGAAGGGUUAGGUGGGUGCCAUAUUUGUCACUGAAAUGAAGAAAGUUUCCAAGAGGUUGGAACCACUGGACAUUUUCCUUUGGAAUUGCAUGCAAAGUAGAUGAUAGGAAAAGGUCCUGUGGUUCCCAACUUUCCAUUCCUACGAGCUUCGCAGGAUAUUUUUUGUAGUAGAAUUAAUCCUUCAAAAUUCCUUUGAACUGAAGAGGCCCUUAGUUGUUUUUCUGAAAUUACACAUGUGAGUUUAACUAAAUAUCUUCAGUGACGCCUACUCGUAUCGAUUCACUGUUUGGCUUUCCGUAGGAAUGUCUUUGGUAGAUACAGUGUUUGACUUCUUAUGGUAGUAGGCACCAGCAUUGGUGGUGGACAGGAUGGAGCUGAACUUUUGCACAAUACAUAAGAUGAUUGUUUGGGUAGAUAUGCUAUUAUGUUUUUUGGUUGAGCAGGUAAGCAUAUCUUCUGCAUGUAAGUUCACGUAUCUGAAAUGUUUGUGCGAAAAAAUAUAUUGCUCAUCUUUUUGCUACUAUUUCGCGAUUACCAAAUAGAUUGCUUUUGGUAGUGUGGGCUGUUCUCCCUCUAGCAUGUCAGCUAGCUUUGCUGCUGGCUAGCCAGGACUUGAGAUCGAGAUCGCAGGAGAUAAAUAGGGUCUGGGAUAGUGACGAAGCUAGAUCAAAGAAGGGGAUUUUUCACUCAUUCAUUGAUUAGCCUGCUAUAUUUUUCUUCUCCCUGUGCCCUCUCCCCUUCUGUUCUCCCUGCCCAUGUAUAUAUAUCCUCUCUCAUGUAAAUAAACUCUUUUUAAUUUACUGUCGGGGCCUCCCAUACAGUUUCUGCUCAAAAGUUUUGUUUCUUAUGCCAUGAAAGUGUAAAAUGGUGACCUGUAUUUUGUAUUGAAGGGAAUAUUAAUUAAUAAAAUGAUGUAUGAUCCCUUGCUUCAGGAUUUUACAAGAUAAAUUAUACUAAAUCUAAUUUGUUAGUGAUUACCUAGCUCAUGCCUUCUUAAAAAAUGCUUAUUAGCUACUGACCAGAUGUUUCUGCUUUUCUACUCCAUGAGCCCAUCAUAUGUCCAUGAUGUUCCAGCAGAUCGAUUCAGUUGAGCGCCUGCACCCAAGCUAAGCCAUUCUCCAUCCCGUUGUGUGCUUCAGGUGGCUGGUGACAUCUCUCAGUUCCCAUGUGUGCUUUGGGAGGAUAAGUUCCAGCCGCUCUCGAUCGUUGCGUCCACUAAUCCCAAGCACAAGAAACCAAGACGCGGUGUGAUGCGCCGGCUACUUGAUGGCUUGGGGAUGGGUGGUCGUGAAAGCAGUCUUCUUUGAUCUAGACAUCGACGAGUUCCGGACUUAUCCUUCGAAGGAAAACAAGGACUAGCGUAUAUGGCGCUCUUUGGAAACGUUGAUUGGAUAGGGACCGGUCGUGUACACCCAUAACAUCAGCAUAACCAGCUUCAUCAGGGUGUCGCGAAGCUCUGUUUUUAUUGACACCUUGGGACAUGUCUGCACCAAGAUUUCCAAGGGUUCAACACAUGCGGAGAAUGCCAUGGCGUGAUUGGAGGACUUCUUUGUUGGUGGUGCUCCUUUGAGUACCGGGACGUGAUUUCCAGGGUGAAAACCCAAGGUCUGGCAUUUAUUGGUUGUGCCUGGCAAUGAUCUUGUUGAAGACAUUGUUUUGGAACCGCGGUCUUUCUUCAGGGUGAAAACCUACGAUCUUUGAUCAGGCAACGACAACGCUUGUGCUUGGCUUGUAAGAGCAUCAAAACAAUUAAUACACUCAAUUGAUUGGUAGUGAUUUCAAAACAUUCCUUUAUUCAUCUGUAUGAAAAUGCCCAAAUCUGUUGAGCCAAGUCUCUUUUUCCCCGAAAGGUGUUUCACCGAUAGUUAAUCACCUGAAAAAAAAAUAUGUGGACAGAAUAAAAUAUGGGCAUAAGAAGAAAACAUGGGCAUUUGAGAGAUGUAAUGUGCACCUGAAAGCUAGUCAUCAUGUUAUCAAGCAACCCUUGAGCAGCCAGCUAAGAUGCACUCCUAUGUUCUGAACAGCCAAACACAGCAUGAAUAACAUAUAGUUAUUAUCUCUAAAAAAUGCUAAGGAAUCAGCAUCGUACACAAACAGAACCAAAAAUAAAUAAAAUAAAGGCAUGAGAACUAUUUCUAAAAGGGUUAUAGCUGUAGGUUUGUACCUUGACACAACUUUGCCUCCUCAGAAGCUUUCAUCUUUUCUACUCCAAACAAAGCAGCAAUUAGAAAUUAGAAUCAGCAAGCGAUAUAUAUACAUAUAUUGACAAUUACAUUAACUAUUGGAACUAGUUAAUUUAUAAUUUCAUGACAACAUGCUGUUAAUAUUUCAGGAUUAGUUACAGUGUACAUCUAUUUGUUACUUACACGGGUUAUCCUUGGCAGCGUUUAAAGAAACUGAAACUUUGAAACCACUGGAAACACUUCCUAGAGAAUGGACUCUUCGUAUAUUGGUUCAUAACCACUCCAUGAAGAUCGUGGAUCAGUGAGCGGAUGCCGCAAGAUCUCCUGGUCAAACUGAGGCCUGAUGGUGAGGCGGCAUGUGCUUAGACAAUUUGAAGGGAACUUUUAAACAUGAAAUAUAUAUGAUAUUUUCGCACAGAGCUAUUGAAACACAAUCUGCAGUUAAAUUUUGUAAGGAAAAUUUCCUACAGUUUUCAGUCAAAAUUAAAAUUAUGAAACUCCAACCCUCCAUGUACCAUAACAAUCUGUUUUUUGUUAUUCUAUAUAGGAGAUCAGACAGCAAAGAUUUGACAACAAUUCAGAAAAUGAACCAAUAAACAUUAAUUGUCCAUACGAUCUGGAAAGGAUAUGGUUCUACUAUCAAGAAACAGUAGAACAACAGAGCCCACAUCUCAGUGCCUAAAAUGAAGUAAAGUGCAAAGAAAAGAAGAGAGUUCGGUUUCCGCCUAAAUGUAACAGAGCAUUGCUGCCUCAAAUGAUCCAAUAAACAUGCAUCCUUGGGUGACAAAUAAUACAUACAUUCGUCCAUAUCAUGGCAAUAAAUAAUAAGAAAAUCAUGUGGGAUUACCUCACGGCUCACGCCGUGGUAGCAAGAUAGUAGAGGAAGAUUAGGAAUGGCCAGCCAUGGAGCAAUCAGGAACUGCCUGCUACAUGAUACAAAUGCCGCGAGGGAGGAGCAGCAAGCGACGUAGAUAGAGAUGCAUGAAGCGGAAACAUAUAUAUGCAUAAAGCAAAUUAACGGCAGGGCGGUUAAUUUAGGAGAUUAAUAGGGGAUUAACACAAUGUGCUAGUUACCUUGUUGUGGGACUUGUCCAUGGGACCAUGACGUAGCAGCAGGCAACAGAGGUAUGGUUCUUUAUAGUGCAGAUGCUGGAGAUCACGCCACUACACCGGCCGUUGAACAAAAGUCUUGGGUGGCAGUAGGCGACAUGCGGUCCACGAUAGGAGUCUUCAAAUUCGUCCCCUUCAGCUAAGGCAACAGUAUCUGCAGGCGCUUGGAACAUAAUGGCACAACAGCUCGGGGAAGGCAGGGAGAUUGUAAGAGGAAGAUGAGGGCGACGCCCUAGGCCACCGGCGGUCCGUCCGGAUGCCUCAAAUCGGGAAGCCAACACCUCUACUUCUGCCAUGUUUUUUGUUCUCCCAAGAUCUGAAGUUUGUACAACCGGAUACUCCAAAUCCGUUAGCUGAAUUGACUCAUUAAAAAAAGGCUUGAUGUUCCUGUUUGUAGCAUCAGAACCUGAAUCUUGCUUUUCCUUCUUCGAUUUGGUACCCUAGUGGUAGAUGUGGAUUGCAAUAUAGAAGGAGAGGUGGUUGGGUUGGGUGUUCCAUGGCCUGGGCUAGGAGAAGAUGAUACUGCUGCGGAUUGAUGAUAGAAUGAAGAAGCAAAGUGAUAAUGGGACGCUCUGUCUCCAUCAGUCCUUGUAUUUGUGGUGGAGGCUACGGAAAGGGCAGACCCAUAGAUUAAAGGGGAGAACAUCUUCGUCAGUUACUCUAGCGCAGAAGAUGAAAAGAGCCAUGGAUUACGGUGGAGGAAGUAGUAAUUGAGGAGACGAUCAGACCGCAUUGCUUCGACAGUUCAGACUUGGAGCGGGGCGGCCGUGCGGGAGGAAAUAAUAUAACCUUUUUCCAGCGUGGCUGUAGCCUGUAGGUUAGGCCCGGGAAUCAGUCUGAUUGGUUGGUGCUUGCAAAUUGAACGCUUACGUGGCAUCACGCUGAUGUGGAUAGUGUGCAUGUUGAGAGAAUUGUUAGUAGUGGGGAUCAACUUCUUAAGAAUGUAUGAUUCCGAAUGAUUUGGUAAGGUAGAUGGUUCAGCAUUUGCCUCUGCAUGAGGUAUUUGCACCAUUGCUCUUUUUACCUUUACUGAGAGAAUGUGGCGAAAAUACUUGAGAAUGUGCCAACAGUAGAAGUUGAAAGUGUGCCACUACAGCACAAUUUACCUACUGAUAAUCUCUGUUUCCGUUGCUGGUUCUUUUCCAGCAAUGCUGUGAUGAUUCAACCUUGCUGUUUUUGGUACAAUUUCUUUAUGAUGAAGCUAAUGAUUACUGUUUGUAUCAUAAGAAAUUGUGAGGUUGCAUAACUUCAACGUCUUUUCGAUGGAUGAAUAGUUCAAAAUGGUUUGACUAAUGUCAUUGUUUACUCCACAGGUACCUAGAAUUGUGUUCCGGUUACUGAGAUGGAGGAAUGGGCUUGCUGUAGGUUCUUCCAGUUUGUAUGCUUCACGCCCCGGUCGAGCCUUUCGAUUGCAUGCAUCAAUCAACCGGGAAGUGGACACAACAAUUAGUAGAUGUUAAUCCUUAAAUUCGCAAAAUUCUCUCUGUUGUUGUCUGGUCUCUGGACACAAUUAGCCGACUGGUAUGAGGGAAACACAGCGACUUGCUUCGGUUAAUUAGUAUUUGUGGUGCACCUGCUUUAUGCUUUCCAAGCAAGCACGUUGAAACAAGCUUGUCUGAUUCCAUUUGCUCAUGGUUUUGUGUAUCUGUUAAUCUCCGCACUGUUUUUGUUUGAUUAUGAUCCAUGUCGAAUCAAGACGGCGGGAGAUUCCAAUAUGUUGAAUUUUAACUUUUGUCCCAUUUUGUGCGGACAUCUUUGUCUGAUCUUUUAUCUGAUUCUGGCCAGUGAAUGCUGAAGUGUGAGGAAGCAAAACACAUUUGAUAAAAGGCUCCCGUUUCAUUUGUGGUUCAGAAAACUCGUCAGCGUGAAUCGCUGGUUAAACUGAACUUGUUUUUCCCCGUGUGUAGUGCACAAGACAAGCUGAUUGUCGGCCAGAAACCGAAAGCAUUCUCCACCACGUUAUUAAAUCCGAUCAAGCUUCUAUUCUUCGUGCGCUUGAUGACACGCGAAUUCACAUUUUCUUUGUGCCGGGAAAGGCAAUAUCAGCUCGGAGCGGAGUUUCAGUGCACGGCGGCAUUGGUGCACUUUUAUCCUCGUCGUGCACUGCAUGCAUCAUGAUGCGAGGAACCAGCAACAGGUUGUAAUAUAGGAACAAUACGUGGGUCAUAUACUACAUGCGGGUGAUACUAAAUACUCACAUUGCGGUCCAGUAUGGUGUGUCCGGCGCCCGGUUUGCGUUAUCACUUGUACCAAACAUGAUGGCAUCCUAUGCGAAAAUCGGCCCAGGUACGCUUGCAUGUGGUAGAUGAUAUGGCCCAAUAAGUACCUGGCCAACAUUUUGCGCGCCUGUUGUUUUAGCCUGGACCCGCGCAUUUCGAAUCACUUAAUAUAGCCAGCCCGGGCGUGGCACAUAAAAGCAAAAACGUAAUUCGGAAGAUCUCGGUGUUUCGGCUGGGUCUAUUGCAUGCUCGACAGAAGUAUGGAGUUCGUCGACAUGGAGGGGCAGGUAAGGUAACAAUUUUGAAGCUAUGUUCUUGCAAUAUGGAGUUCUUCUAAUUGAGUAUUAUUUCUUUUUUUUCCAUCUUAGAUCAACAGCUAGUUUGAUUCCUGACUGCGCCGACGCGUCGCAAAGAGUUCGGGAUGUCUUGCAUGCGCCAUCAAAUUGUUGGUCAGGAUCAUCUAAGGCUUGCCAACGAAUGGAAGCACUGGCAGAAAAUAAUGGGCAGCAUGCAGCUGGUGCAGUGCUUGAAGCCUCAGGAAAUGUUGAAAUCAAUAGAUCCAUCGAAAACCUCGGCGAGGGCUCGGCUUCUUGUGCGGCUAGUGUCCAAGCUGGAUCUUGCGAUGUUCAUGUACCAGAUGCAAGUGGAGAAGCAACUUCAACAUGGAAACGAAGGUUGGUAACUAAAUCAAUUGUGUAUUGAAAUUAGAUUUGUGUUACAGACCAAAUGAUAAGAGAUUAUUAAGUUUUAUUUAGGUUAAUUUAAAACCAACGUAGGAUAAUUUUAAUUAUUUUACUUAGGUUGUUUGCUUAAAUAGAAACAACGAUGUAAAAAAAACUUAUUAGGAUGAUAUUUUGUGUGCUGGCGCAUGCAUGGGGUAUGGUUUGUGUGGUGGUCGUGCUAUAUGCAAAAUGAUGGCAUGGAGUUGAGAAGAAUGGCGUGGCGCAGCACGGUCUCGGCAACGGAUGUGUGACGACGCGCGUAGGGAGGUGGCGUUGUCUGACGUUGUGAUGGCGUCGCGUCGGUACAUGCUCUGAAGAUGGAUCGGUGGAAGAUGGCGGCAGCAGCCUCUGAAAGGGCAUCGAACCGGUGAGUGCCCUAGAGCAGGUGGUUUAGUUGGGCCUCGGGUUUUAGAUGUCAGGCAUUGGUGCGAGGUCUGUUUGGUAUUUGGCCCGGACUCUCGGCACCCCUUCAUCAGUUAGAUAGGAGUAGCGACAGAUGUUGGGAAGAUGGUGGCUUCAGACUUAUCGCUGUAUUUCUUUGUAAGGUAUUUGUGAAUAAUCAAUAAAAUGGCCGCAUGCAUCUUCCAGAUGCAGAGGCCGGGGGUCAUCCUCCUUUUUUAAAAAAAUUCAAAAUAACAUUACCAAGUGCAUAUAUUGUCAUCAAUACUACUGCUGCUGUUGCUACUAUCACAACCAUCCCCACUUUCGGGGGAUAGAAAACAUGUCUCAUCUUAGUUGGGUCUUCCGUAGAAUGCCUGGCAUGUGUUACUACCUCCGUCCAAGUUGGUCCUUCUUUCUAUUUUGAGUCAUACUUUGACCGUGCAUUUGACUAGUAAAAUAUAAGUGAUAUACCACCAAGAUUAUACUCUUAAAUUCAUAUUUGAAAGUACUGUCCAAUGGUAUUAUUUUCUGCCAAGUACUCUCUCUUUAGUGAUCUAAACGCUUUUAUAUUUCUUUAUAGAAGGAGUAUAACUUAUAUUUCAUUAGUAAAUUUUGUGGGCAAAUUUUGACCCAAAAUAUGAAGGAGACUAAUAAACUCGCAUAGAAGAAGCGUACUUGCAUGUGGUCCAGGCUCGGACCUACACAUAACGAAGCAUUUUGUCAAACAACAAAUAUAGCGAAGAAAUGGACUAAUUUUGUGAAUCAAAAUAUGAAUAAAUGGAACUGAAAAAACUGAAAUGAAAUACGACGAACACGUACGCUUGAUUACAAAACAUUUUAGAGGUAAUUACAACAGGGAGGAGGACGUGGUGCCUAGUUUUUUGCGGAACCCUCCUGGAAUAAUUUUCUUCUUACAAAAGAGCCCUCGGAUUGAAACAACACAAAUUGUAAUAAUAAAAACUUGUCAAGCUGGGUUUCAAACACUCGAUAUGUCACUCGCAUGUGGCCGUGCCUAGCCAAUAGACCAAAUCACAUGUACAUGACUGCAGAUAUUCGCAUACUUUAUAUACUAUGUCUGAUCAACAUAAAUGAAGAAAUUUAUUCCAGGAAAAAAGUACUGGGUCAAUGAUUCGCCCUAAGGCCAUAUAGCGGCCACAAAUAGCAAUCCAACCCACAAAAUGUAAUAUUAAAAGUAUAAAUUUCUCUUUGUAACAGAAUGUGCUCGUGUGGGUAAAACAACCGCAGUGCGGCCCAUUUUCAACAUGUUAGUUUUUUUCAUUUUAAAAGUUUAUAAAAAACCAUACACUAUAAUAAUGUGUUAAAAUUAUAUACACAAAGUUAAAAUUAAAUAAAUAAAUUUUUUCAUAAAAUAUGUAUGCAAUAAUUUAACAAAAAUAAACAUUAUUUAAUUACUAUAAUUAUGAAAAACAAUAUAAUUUUAAAAAGUGCUGGCAUUUUUAAUUAAAUUUUAAAGUAAUUUUAGAAAGUUUCAUAUAUUUAAAUAAAUUCUCUUAUAAGUUUAAAAUUUUACAUGUAUUUAAUAAAAUAUUCAUGUAGCAUAUAAAGUUUUCAUGCUUCAAGAAAAUGUUUGUGUUGUUUGAAAUUUAUAUAGUAUAUAAAAGAUUGUGUGUAUAAAAAAGAAGUAGCCUAGUGCGCCCUCAGAUUGCAGAUCCUCACAUGAAUAAUACUUGAAUUAUACAAACAUUUUUAUAAUUCAUAAAUAUUUUAAAUUAUAUGAAUAUGUUUUAAAAUAAAAUGAGAAUUCUUUUUAAAAUGACAUGUAAAAUGCAAGUCUCGGGUUCAUAGUGUGUAUAAAGCAUAUGAAUCCUUUCAUGACAACAUGUGUAAAUGUUCAAUUGGCUAACCACACUUGCAUGUUAAAUGCAAGUCUCGGGUUCGAACCUCCACCAGACCAGUUUUAUUUUUUCCUCUAUGAGGGCCCAUUUGUAAAAAUAAUAAUUUCAGGUGGUUUUCCAAAAAAACUAGGCCACACGCCCUAUUUCCUGCCGUCUAGUUGCUGACACUGAGCCCCAUGCCACGCUGGAAUGCCUUGUCAGCAUUGUGGAUGUAUAUACAUGAGAUUUGAACCGUGUUUGCACAUCCAUGCCAAGUUAUGAACCAGUUUGAUGUAUUUUUCAAGUUCAUGCACUAAAGUGAACAUCCAUGACAACUUCAGGCACCACCGGCGUAUUUACCUCAACAUUUUAUUAUGUCAAGCAGACAUUUAUUGCUGCACCAUUCAGACCUUGACGUUCUUGCAAGCCUCUAGUGAAAAACUGUAGAAGGCCAAGCUUGCACAAGAUAAAAUAACCUCAAAUUUUUGAAAAGCAACAUGAGCCUCUCACCACAAUUGAUGAAAAAUGUAAGACCGUUGAGCACACAAUUGAGAAGACACCCAUUGCAAGACAGAACAUUGAACUGUUUCUUCAUCGAAGGAUAUCGUACAAAAAAAAGGAGUUGAGAACACAUAUAAGGAACAUUAAUCGGAACAUGCUUGAGAGCACCAAUCCCGUUGUCACCACAAAACCAAGUCAAAGCACGAGACGACAAUUUGCGUGAUCAAGAACUAUGAAUCCGCAUCGGAAUGUGGGAGCUUUGGAAGCAUCGGAAUGCAAUUGUUUUCGACGGUGCGUCACCGUCGGUGGAGAGGCUCAUGGACAGGGUAAAAUCUGAGUGCGAGGUAUGAACAUCUGCGGGUCUGUUCAAAGGUAAGCUAGAGGGGUUCCUGGGUGGGUUACACCGGUGGAUGUGUAGGGAGGAGUAGGCUUGUGGGCGUUUGAGUGGAGUGGGUACGGGUCGUAAGGCCGUACUUGUGUGUGAUGUAAUCGUGGAGGCAUGCUUUGCCCUUCUUCUUUAAUAUAUGAUAUGCACACUCGUGCAUAUUCGAGAAAAAAGAACUAUGAAUCCGCGAAACUGAGACAUGUCGUGCCCCGGCUUGCCCAUGUCAAUAGCUAAGCCCACAAACUGAGGUGGACACAAUGAGCCAACCGGGAUGUUAGAUGUAAUGAUUUGGUUCGAUUUAGUAGCAUUUACCUUGUGGUUCAUUUGCCAUAUUAUUUGGAAGCAAGCUUGCCUGCUUGAUGAUAUUUGAUUACAUUUUUAUGUGUGUCUUCCUCACUUUUCCAUUCGUUCUUACAUAAUGUGGUCACCCGCUGCAAAUUAAAAACAUUUUUUCCAUAUUGGAAAAAAAGUGACACUUUCAACAAUGAUCAGAUGAAAUUUGAGAUACAUCAAAUUAGAUUUGCCUGAUCCUAUGCAAUGCAGGUGUAGUUACCCUUGGAGUGCACUACGUGCCACGCAAAAAUGGUGUUGCAGAUAGCUACAACAAAACGAAGAAGUUGAGUCAAUCAGUGAUCAUAUAAACUACUCCUAGUGUAGUGUCAAAAAUGUUCUUAUAUCAUGGGACGGAGGGAGUAGCAUAGUGAUGAAAUCUUCUGAGUUUAAACUGGAAACACCACCAAUUACCUCGGUAGUGGAGUACAAAAUUCCGCUGCAUGGUUGAUUUUCGUCGGUAGACAAUGGUUGUGUUCGUGGGCUCUUUCUUCCAGUGGGCCGAAUUUCAUUCGGUAUUACCUUUUAAGUUAGGUCACAUUGCACUUGACCGGUUCACCCACAGUGCGGCGGCCACAAAUCCCCUCAAGUUAGGGUUUCUUUUCCUCCAGGCGACGGCGAUCGCCUUGGAGACUUGCUCUACCCUGCCCCCCUUCCGUUCGCUCGCCGCCGGGGCCUGGCUCCGGGACGGCGACUCAAGGGAGACGCUAGGGAUCUACCGCUCGCGGAACAGGUUUAUUCUUUGGGCGAUAGUUUCAAGAUGUCAGAUCCGUCUUCAAGCUCGGGCGCGGCCUUGAGCGACAUGGAGGCGAUGAUGAAGGAAUUAGGGUUGAAGGAAGAUGAACUGGAAGAUGUGGUGAUCGAAGAAGAUGAACUCCCUGAGGAGGCUACAAGAUGGAUGGCUCUAGCCCGUGUCCAUACGGACAAACCCUACAGCCAGUACUGGUUUUUCCGCAACAUGCGUGUGGCAUGGGAUCUAGCGCAGGAGGUGAAUUUUCGCCCCCUUGAAGAUAACCUUUACACCCUUCAGUUUUCAUGCCUCGGUGACUGGGAACGUGUGAUGGAGGAGGGACCAUGGUCUUUCAAGGGGAAAUCGGUGGUGUUAGCACCAUAUGAUGGAUUCACAAAACCGUCCUUGAUUGAUCUGAACAAGGUGGAAAUAUGGAUCCAAAUCCACGAUCUGCCGGAAGGUUACUUCUGCAAGAUUAAAUCGCUGUCCUCGACAGUGGGAGAGUUUAUUUAUGCCGAGCCAAAAAUCUCAAGAUUUCGAAGGGAACUUCUGCAGAGUCCGUAUAAGGAUAGAUGUAAACAAGCCGCUCAAGAACGCGGUGUCUCUCGUCAUCAAGAGGCAGAAAGAGGUAGUCAGAGAGAUUUUUAGGGUCAAAUAUGAAAGACUCCCGGAUUGGUGCGCUGUAUGUGGUCAUCUGGGUCACAAGUAUAAGGAGUGUGGCAAUGGCAUCCACCCUCCUGAAAAAGUGGUGUUCAAGGAUCUUCAGGCUUCCUGGUUCAGAGGGCCAGGGCGCGGCCCAGGAGAAGGAAGGGGCUCGGGAGGUGGCCGUGGAAGGGGCCGAUCAAGCACUGGAAGAGGAAGAGGGAAUACCCAAGGACAGCAGGAUUAUGAGGUUGACCUCUCGAUGGGCAGGCAUGGAGAUUAUGAUAUGGAGGACGCGGAAGCAAACAGGAAGAGGGGAGCACCGCAAGACGCAGCCGUGAUGGUACCAGCUACUAUUCAAAAUCAAGUGGGCAACACUCUGCUUGCCCUGCCGCCUCCACCUGUAGCGAGCCCCUCUUCAAAACAAGAACCAAAAAGGAACAAACAAACUCCACAGAUCGUUGAGAAGGGGAAGGACAAGAAUGCAACAACAAACAAACCAACUGAUGCGCGCUUGGCGGGCCCCCUAGUGGGGCCGCGCCCCGCGCAAUGAGUAUACUAUGUUGGAACUGUCGCGGGGCUGGCAAACCCGCGACAGUUCGAGAGCUUCGCGACCUAGCGAAGCAGCAUGCCCCCUUUAUACUUUGUAUCUUAGAAACUCAAAUAGAGGGAACUCGUGUUGAGAAUUUAGUUGGUACUCUUGGUUUUGAUAAAAGUUAUGCAGUUAGUAGUUCUGGUAGAAGUGGGGGUCUUGGAAUUUUUUGGAAGGAUUCAAUAAAAGUUGAAGUUCUUGGUUAUUCUGAGUAUCACAUUGAUGUUGAUGUGGAUGAUAUUGUUGAUGAACAAAUUCGAGUGACCUUUGUCUAUGGGGAGGCGCAAGUCAACCAAAGAUAUAAAACGUGGGAUAUGCUACGAGGAAUCACAGGCAUAAGUACAUUACCAUGGAUAGCCAUGGGUGAUUUCAAUGAGGUAAUUCAUGCCCAUGAACAUGAUGGAGUAGCAAACCGAAGUCAGGCGCAGAUGGACUUGUUUCGGGAUGCUCUAGAUACAUGUGGGUUAACAGACAUCGGCUAUACAGGGACAAAUUGGAUGUUUGAGAAAAAGGUUUCAGGAGGGACCUACACUAGGGUUCGGCUGGAUAGAGGAGUUGGUAAUGCAGCAUUUGUAUCAGCUUUCCCUAAUGCAAACAUUGAGCAUAAAAGCGCAGCGUCGUCUGAUCAUCUAUUUUGCUCCGUUUGCGCGACGUGCAUGCAUGCAGCAGGGGCCCCCGUCCCUUUAAAUAUGAGUUGUGUUGGGAGCGGGACGAGGCGCUGCCUGGGGUUGUGGAGACCGGAUGGGCGAGAGUGGCAGGUGAUUCGGUGGAAUCUUUGCAUGGAAAGCUGCAGGGACUGUCGGCUGAUUUGACCCACUGGGAGCGUACCCACUUUGGCAGUGUGAGGCGAGAAAUCGACCAGCUUAAACGACAAGUGCAGAUUCUGCGUCAGAUCCCAGGCCGUACAGGACCAUGCCAUGCAGAAUUGAAAGCGACGGAUAGGCUGGUUGAACUACACCAUCGAGAGGAGAUUUUAUGGCGCCAAACAGCAAGGCUAGAGUGGCUGGCUCAUGGAGACAAAAACACUUAUUUUUUCCACCUCAGAGCAAGCAGAUGCCGAAGGAAAAACCAAAUCAAAGCACUCCAACGUCCAGAUGGGCAGAUGACUGAGAUUAAUAGUGAGAUGGAGGCUAUGACCACGGCUUUUUACAAGGAACUGUAUACCUCGGAGGGGACCCAUAACAUGGACCAGGUCUUAGAUACAGUACCAAGAAAGGUAACUUCGGAGAUGAAUCAGGUCUUGAAUGCGCCAUAUAAUCAUGAGGAAGUGAAAACCGCUUUGUUCCAGAUGUUCCCAACAAAAGCGCCGGGGCGGAUGGGUUUCCAGCCCACUUUUUCCAAAAACAUUGGGAUAUCUGCAAAGAAGAGGUUACAAAAGUGGUUAUAAAAAUUGUUGAAGGUCAGGAGUCAGCCGAAAGUAUAAAUGAGACGGUGCUUGUUUUGAUUCCGAAGGUAAAAAACCCCACGCUCCUUACUCAGUUCCGCCCUAUAAGUUUAUGCAACGUCCUUUACAAGAUAGCAUCCAAGGUGAUUUCUAACCGGCUAAAGUUAGUUUUGCCUGAUAUAAUAUCAGAGGAGCAAUCAGCCUUUGUUCCUGGGAGGUUAAUCACUGAUAACAUCAUAACUGCAUAUGAGUGUCUACACUUUAUGAAGCGGAACAAAGCGGAAAAGCAUCAGUCAUGUGCGUUGAAGCUUGAUAUGAUGAAGGCAUAUGAUAGACUGGAGUGGUCUUACCUACGAGCAAUCAUGCUCAAACUUGGCUUCACCAACAGAUGGGUGGACAUCGUAAUGAGCCUGGUAACCACGGUAAAGUUCUCGGUCAUGUUUAAUGGUAAGAGAUUGGAAGAAUUUAUACCAUCAAGAGGACUAAGACAAGGGGACCCAAUAUCUCCCUACUUGUUCUUGUUAGCAGCAGAGGGCCUAUCGUGCCUACUCAAAUCUAGAAGAGAGUCAUCCAAGUUGCAAGGUAUACAGGUGGCACCGUCGGCGCCACCGGUCAACCAUUUGCUAUUCGCUGAUGACAGCCUACUGUUUUUCAAGGCAAACGGUGAGGGAGCUAGCGAGGUGAACCUGGUUUUGGAUCAAUACUGUCAGGCCUCAGGCCAGAGAAUCAAUCAUGCUAAAUCUUCUAUUUUCUUUAGCAAGGGGGUGCCAGAAAGUACAACACAGGAAGUAAAAACCGGACUUAAUGUCCAGAACGAAACUUUGAACGAAAAGUACCUUGGGAUGCCAUCAGACAUUGGAGGUAGCAAGAAUGGUGCUUUUAAAUACCUAAAAGAUCGACUAUGGAGUAAGAUUCAGGGAUGGAUUGCACAGGCCCUGUCAUCUGCUGGAAAAGAAGUCCUUGUCAAAUAUGUUGCCUAGGCAGUGCUGGUCUUCUCCAUGUCUUGUUUCAAACUACCUAGAGGUUUAUGCGAGCACUUGAACAUGCUGAUCAGAAAGUUCUGGUGGGGGGCGAAAGAUGGCAAACGAAAACCUCAUUGGGUAUCAUGGAAAACAAUGUCACAACCAAAAGGUUUGGGAGGUUUGGGGUUUAAAGAUUUUGAGCUCUUUAAUCUAGCGAUGCUAGCUCGCCAGGCAUGGCGUCUAUUGCAGAAUCCAGGAUCACUAAGUGGUCGAAUUUUGAAAGCUGUGUACUUUCCGAACACCACAAUUUUGGAAGCUGUUUUGGGAAAUCAUCCGAGCCAAAUUUGGAGGGCCAUUAUAGAAGGAAGGGACACUCUGAAGCUGGGUUUAAUCAGGCGUAUUGGCAAUGGAAAUACAACGGAUAUAUGGAACGAUAAUUGGCUACCACGGGAUGAGAUGCUACGCCCGUAUGGAUGUAUAUCUCAGAACCGGCCCUCUUUAGUGUCCGAGCUGAUUGAUCCAACGUCGGCAACGUGGAUCAGGCAACGAGUUGAGGAGGUCUUUAUGCCAAUGGAUGUUUCGAUCAUUCUCGGAAUCCCCCUAUGUACAAGAAAUAUCCCAGAUUUUUGGAGUUGGAACUUUGAAAAGAAUGGCAAUUUCACAGUGAAGUCAACCUAUAGAAUGCUUGUUUCAACCAGGCAAAGGAGGGAGGCGUGGCUCGAGGCCACCGCUGGUUCAUCCCGAGUGAACUUGGAGGAAAAAUCAUGGAAAACCCUCUGGAAUACUAAGGUUCUGGGGAAGGUUAGGAUGUUCUUAUGGCGUCUCUCUAAACAUUCGAUCCCAACGAAUGAUGUUAGGGCCCAUAGACAUAUGACAGACUCAGCGGCUUGUGGCAUUUGUGGAGCACCGGAUUCAUGGAAGCAUUCUCUUGUCAACUGCACCAUGUCACGUUGUAUUUGGGCACUCGUUGAUGAAUAGCUGGCACAAAAGUUAGCAGAGACAACAGAGAUCAAUGCUAAGCAAUGGAUCUUCACUCUGAUGGAUCUAUUAUCCCAUGACUUGUUUGUUAAGCUUUCUGUUACGUUGUGGGCGAUAUGGUAUGCUCGCAGGAAGGCUAUCCAUGAAGGUAUAUUUUAAAGUCCCCAUGCAACUUAUUCGUUUAUCACCCGAUUCAUAGAAGAGCUAUCAAUCAUCUCGGAUAAACCUACUUCUGGAAGCGCUGCGCCUAAUAUUCAGGGCCAUGGCCAGCGCCCUAGUGCACCACCGACAGUGUAUCAUAAAGUACAUGUGGAUGCAGCAGUUCGUCAGGGAAGGGACGGCUCGGUUUCUGCAGUGUGCAGGGAUGGCAACGGAAACUUCAUUGGCAGUUCAUCAUUGGUGGUCGCGGGGAUACAGGACCCGGUCACUUUGGAGGCAAUGGCAGUCAGGGAAGCACUUGCACUUGGGGAAGAUCUUCAUAUAUCCAAUAUGGUUAUUUCUUCUGAUUGCAAGCAAGUUAUAGGAGACAUUCAGAAGGGCUCAGACGGAAGAUAUGGUGCCAUCGUUAAGGAGAUCAAACUGCAGGCAGCAACUUUUAAUUGCAUUUUUAAAUUUGAAAGUCGUAGAGUAAAUUUAGAAGCUCAUAGCUUAGCCAGGCAUUCGCUUACUCUUGGUUCGGGAUGCUACGUUUGGUUUGGCCAAUCCCACAACCAAAGAUGUAUCCCACACUCUAUGGUUUUUGAUGAAUAAAGCUUGGUUUUUCCCUUAGAAAAAAAAAAACCACAGUGCGGCGGCCGCUUCACCACCCCUCUCCCUCGCGAGAGAUGUUGCCGGCGGCGGCGGUGGCGGCGCUGCCGCUGGACGACGACAACGUGCUCUCCGAGAUCCUCCUCCGCCUCCCGCCGCUCCCGUCCUCCCUCCCCCGCGCCUCCGCCGUCUGCAGGCGCUGGCGCAGCCUCGCCUCCGACCCAGCCUUCUCCCGCCGCUUCCGCCUCCACCACCGCCGCAACCCUCCCCUCCUCGGUUACUUCUACGAAGAUUUUAACCAGAUUCGCUUCGAGCCUACUCUGGAGGCCCCCAAUCGUGUUCCACCCGAGCGCCUCUGCUUGCACUUUAACUCCCACUUCCGAUUGCUCGGGUGCCGCCCCAGCUCCUGCUGUGUGACCCCAUCACCGGCCACCAGCACUGCAUAGCCAUUCCACCUGGAUUUGAUCGGAUCAAGUCCUUGAUCAAUGGGGCGGUGCUCCGCUCUGCUGCCGGCGAGGUCCACUUCCAGUUCCAGGUCGCCUUGGUAGUGGCAAACGACAACAACAACAAGGUGCUCGCUUGCGUUUACUCGUCAGAGACCGGGGUGUGGGGUAAUCUCAUCUCCACAUCGAUUCCAUCCUGGAACUUCUUUCGUCCCAUGGUUUCUUCGCAGCCUGCGGUACUGGUUGGGGAUUCCCUUUACUGGAUACUUAAAGGUGGUUCGGAAUGUAUCCUUGAGUUCGAUUUGCAGAGUGAGAGCCUAGCCUUUGUACAGAUGCCAGUGGAUAGGAUUAAUGUCCCCUGCUAUACACCGAUGCGGGCAGAUGAUGGUGAGCUGGGUUUACUCUCCGUGACUGGCACCACCGCCCAAUUAUGGAAGAGGAAGGCCGGUUGUGAUGGUGCUACACCAUGGUGGGUGGGAAGAACUAUUGAGCUGGACAAGCUACUUUCUCUGGAUUCAGGGGAGUCUACAUGGAUACAAGGGUUCGCUGAGGACAAGAAUUUGGUGUUCCUGUGUGCUGGCAGCAGCAACUUCACGGUCCAACUCGAAUCUUUGCAGUUGAAGAAACUUUCCAACCCCAGAAUGGAUCGCUAUCAUCCAUUUGGAAGUGUCUAUGCUGCAGGUAACAACAAUGCCUUUACACUGCCGGUAUAACAAAACCAAGUUAAUUUUCAAUAAAUGGUUGAUGGAAUGGCUUUCACAUCCUUUAUAUGAAUGAAACUAACAAUUUUAACUAGUAUCAUAUUAAUUAUUCUCUUGUUUGAUGAUCUCUUCAACCUAUGGCAAUGGUGCUAUGCAGUGUUCUCUCCCCAUGCUUGUGUGGUGGCGUUAUCUGUACUUGUUAUGAUCUGGAAUUUUGUUUUGCUUGCUGUAUCUGGUUCAUUUGUGUCUGGAGUACUGCUUCUGUAGCCAAGAUUGGCAACUUCGUUGUAAUAAUUGAACUAAACUUCGUAGUUGCCUGCCUAUUGACACAUGCAAGAACUGUAUAAUUACAGUGCUCGUGUAUAUCUGCAGCGCUGUUUUUCUGAAGAUAAUAUUUAACAGUUGAUAGCUUCGUACUAGGAUGUUGAACAACGAAAUUUAGCUGUAGGCUGUAGCUAUGCUUUUUGUGCAGCCUAAUAAUUUGUUUGAUUUGGCCACCAUAGGCAACUAAUACAUUAUACCGAACACUUGAGUAAAGUGAUAAGACUGAAUUUAUCCAAAUAACUGAUUACGCCAUGAACUACAGUCUUUAUUUUUACUAAUAUAUUAUCAUCAGAAGUAGCGGUCAAGAUAUUGUAUUUAAUGAUGUCCAGUGUAAAGAAAUGGCAUAUAUUUUAGACCGAAGAGAGCAUUAAGAUGGCGUACAAUCCCUUGCUUGAGGCUUCUACAACAUGAAUUUGAUUAAUUCAAUCAGUUAGUGGCUAGCUACCUCCAGGUGCUAUUAGAGAACAAUUAGCAGAUUUAGAUUUGCGAAUUAUUUUAGAGACUUCCUUGGUUCAACAAAAGGAAUUAGAAGACGAGGGGUAUAGUGGAGAUGAAUUGGAAGAUAGAAAAAAGAUGAAUAAGAAAAGUUUUUUUAUUAGAUGCGUGUACAUUUCUAAAAAUUAUCCACAUGAGCUAGAAACCAGAUGUUUCUGCUUUUCUACUCCUUGAGCCCCUCAUAUGUCCAUCGUUAUUAAGAAUGUGUCAAAGAUUUGGUAAGUUAGUUGGUUCAGCAUUUGCCCUCUGGCGAAAAUACCCUGGAAUGUGCUAGCAGUAGAACUUGAAAGUGUGCCACUACACUACGAAAUGCCUAGUGAUAAUCCAUGUUUCUAUUGUUUUACCCCCUAACCAUGUUGAGAUGAUUCAGCUUUGGUGUUUUUGGCAGAAUUUCCUUAUGGUGAAUGAAGCUAUUUUUUACUGAUUGAAUCAAUCCUUGGUGUUCUUUUACUGAUACACACGAGUUCGCCGGCAACCGCUGCCAAUCCUUGGUGUUUUUUGUGUUCGGCCCCCCAGGAUCUGCUUUUGUCACUCAUCUGCCCUCGCCCGUUCCUCUCAUCAGAACAGAAGUAAUCAACCUUGGACAGCGGCGGCCGCCUGAUGAUCGUCGGCAGGUCCAGCACGUGAAUGGCAGAGGAACGAAGCAGCUCGCCGCCGCCGCAUCUGCCGGCGCCGAUGGGUGCCCUGAUACGGUGGCUGGACGAGGUUGCGGCUCCGGCGUAAUGUUUUUUUUUUGUUAAGAUCGAGUCAUUCCCAAGUGGAUUAAGCAAUGAUUUCUAGUUCCCCUACGGUCUGCUGUUCGAUUUCAUGGAAUUUCAUACGCAUUACACUAGGGUUUAUUGAAUGUAGGGUUCCUGAAAGUGAGCCCUUGCCAUGUUUGAUCAUGCUCUGUUUUAAGUGAGCGACUAACUUGCUUAAUUAUGCUCUGUUUCAGGGAAAUACAGCCCUUUUUUCACUCGUGGGGAGGCUGCAAGGCAACAAGCUUGGGACAUGCAGAAUAACCAAGAGGACACAAACUGCAGCAAGUAGUUCAAACGCAGAGGAGGAGGAAAGAUACAUUCAUGCCAAUCUCAGAGAAACAAGCCAAAGAAAAUAGGUGCAUCUUCAAAUCAGACCAGGCUAGGCUUGAAGAAACCUACAAGGGUUAGCAUGUUUGAUGAAUUUAGGUGAGCAGAAAUCUCUAGUCGUCAGAAAUGGGGAUCUUCAUGACUUUUGUGUUUCUACUUACUGUAUGAUAAGAUGCAGAGCUUGUAAUUAAUGGCUAUGUUUUGUUUAUGAUCAUUGUGCUGAUCAUAAGACUAGUAAAUUUGUGAACCUAGUAUGUACUGUUCAGGUUCAGAACUUAUGCUCUUGUACUACAUGUUCACUUCAUAUGUGUUGUCAG